rnacentral:lncRNA from 1 species
UUUUUUUUUUUUUUUUUUUUUGUGGGGGGGGGGGGGGGGGUAGAGCACUGAUGACUGCAGUUAUAAUUACCACACAACCUGAUUCAUUGAAAUGAGUAAGGCUGGUCUUUUGAAGUUUUAGAUGUUUUUCUUUUGUGGUUCCUUUCCUUGCUUUCUCCUUUCGAGGCAAUUCAAAGGAGAUUCAAGCUGGAAAAUACCGAUUGGUAAAAUUCCGUUGGAAUCGGUGUGUUCCUUGCUGUUGAAUCAUUCUUGCUCAAAUUCAAAAAGAAAAAAUGGCAUGGCUUAAUUCAUCGCUGCUGAAGAACAGGUGAACUACAAAAUGAAUAACCGGGAUCAUAACGUGUAGUCCUUCAAAAUGAAAGUAAGCAAGCAGCCUCAAUAUUGUGGAGAACGAACUCAGCAAAUCAAAUACUUCUAGCUAAGAAAAUUCAUCCAAAAACUAAAAAAAAACAAAAAAGUAUUAUUACCCUUGAAAUAUUUGUGACUGAUUUUAACCGGCAUUCCUCCUUUUGCCAGCCAAUAUACAGUUUUCUCUGAAUUAACGAAGAAUGCAGCUGCGGAUGCUGUAAGGUCAAUCAAGAAUUGGUUAGAUCUCUAAACUUAAAUACAAACAAUAUUAUUGUUAUACCCAAGAAAAGGAAAAAGUGUUCCAACUAAGUAUGGGCAUGAACAAGAAUUUCAUGAGGGCCUGAGCAGUGUAAUUAAGGUUAGCCUUUGCAUAAGGCAUGGUGCGAACAGCAGCAGUCUGAAAACACUAAACAAUUAUGAGAAUCAAUCUCGAAUUAAUUAUGCAAAUAUAAUUUCAAGCAAAUAUUAUCUCUUGCUUGAAGAGAGGUUAAACAGCUUUCCCGUUGUAUGUAUUGUUAUCCGCAUUUAGGGCGCAUUUGAGUAAACUAAAGUUCCGAAAUCUGAAUCUAUUGAAUCACUGAAUUGUUAAUUUGAUAAGUGAGCAAUUCAGAACUAUUUAAUUAAUUAAAACGUUCUAUUUUUAAUUAUCAAACAUAUCUGAAUACAUUAAGUUCUGAAUCCAUUAAAUUUAAGUAUUAAAUUAAAUUACCAAACAGGACAUUAGCCAUCCAAGUGCGUGACCUGACGAUUCAGCAGGAAUAGUUUCUUUUCAUGAUUCAGGUCACUUAACAUAUUUCUUUUUUUGAAGUAUAACUAACACAUUUCCGUUACUUCAUGGUUCAGAUUGCUGUUUUAACAACUUGUGGCCUCUCUCUUAAUGCAUUGGUACCUGGCUCAAGAAAAUGUACCUGGCUAGUAAAUAAUUUUUAUUCAAUUGUCACCAGCUCUAAAUAAAAUGCUCUUCUCUUAGAAUAAAAGAUUUAAUUAACGAAGUCACAAAAAAAAAAAAAAAAAAAAAAAACAUUGACUGAACAUAAUUAUUCUAGACCAUCCCUCAGAGAAAUUGAUUAACAGCAUUAUUCAAGUUACUGGUCCUCUUGCAAUACCCCUCCGAAGAUGAUGCUAUAUGGAUCAAAUCCAGAAAAUGGAAAAUCAAGAAUGACGAAAUUGUCCUAGAACCCAAGCAAAAAGCACCUUAACAAGCGUUUGAAAACAACCAACCAAGGAAGAUGUGGAACCGCCACCUUGGGCUUAAGUGAAGCAUAAAGAUAAGGCAGUUCUGAUUCGAAUUCUACCUAGAAGAGACAUCGAAGAAAGAUUUAGGUUAGGCAUUACACAAAACUUUGGAAAACAACAUCCAACUCAUAUGCAGUAAUGCAGAGGCGGUGGUGGCCAUAGCAGGAGAUGCACAUAGUUACUAGAUGUUGCAACUGCAGCAGCAGAUCCUCCUUCGCUUUAAGCUGAUUUAUCGUAUUGUGUAUUUCUCCUGGCACACUCCAAGAUAGUUUUGUCUGCAGUUAUAAAGUAUGCUGCAAUAGAAGCUGCACGAGAUUGCGAAUCAAGUAUGAAUUAGCAUCAACUAAUGAGAGUGUUUUCACUUCUUAAUCUUCAUCAGUGAGCAAUGAUGGUCAAAAGCACGCAAUUCUUAUGCAAGUUCAAGUGUUUACUGAAAUUAUAUCAGCCAGUAUACUGCAAUGAUCUUCCCCAGGAAGCAUUAAAAGAUAUGUACAGUUGAGAGGACAAAAGUCGUUCUCAUUCAUCUUUCAUGACAUAUAUAUGCACCUUCCAAAGUUUCUGUACCAUCAAUGAACUUGACACGCAAAUCGGAGUUUAGUCUACAUACCAGCAGUACUCAGUUGAAAGAUGAAAGUAGAGGAAAUUUUUAAGGCUGUUGAAGCUUUUAAGAGAUGCAGAAUAUUUAUGCAUUACAUGGGUUUAGAAAAGAUUCGUACGCAUAUAAGAUCCAACCGAUUAGUUUAGGAGAAUAACAAAAAACUUGAGCCCCAGAUCCACUGUGUGGUUCUUGGAAUUUACUGGGUUAACUAAACCAGAAGCAGAUCUGACACACAGUCUGUAAUGUAAUCAAGUCUUCCCACUUCCUUCAGGAGAAGAAUGCAUCGCUAUUGAAUGUUCUAAAUCUAUAUACAUUUAUGAAAAAAUCUGUGGGUUGCUAAUUACAAAUUAAAGUUUCCCUCAGGUCUAAAUUCAUGCACUAGGAAGUGGUCUUAUUCUUUCUUCUUGAUACCUUACUUGAAAUGCGCUAUUAAAUUUCAAAGAAGUCUUGCAUCGUGAAACCUUAUUGGCCCGCAAAAUGUUUGGUGAAAACCAGAACAAGUCAACUCAGUUUACACACUCGAGUAACUAGCAAGUUAUGGAAGCAGCACAGCUUUUACCUUACGAAUGCUGUAUAAAUUUAUCAUAAGCAACAGAGCAAGGCCCUCAUUUUACAGCUACAUUAAAAUGGACAUUAAGAUGUGUCAUCAAAUUGAGAAGUCAAGUCCCAUGCUUACCGCCAGAUAUAAUGAGUGCCUGGGCAGUAUAGUUGAGAUUUGCCUUAGCCCAAGGAAUUGUUCGAACGGCAGUCAACUGAAAUUGUUAGGACAAGUCCAAAGAAAAAACAUUAUCAGAGAUAAGCACGAGUUUGUACAUUUCACCAAAGGCAGGAAAUAGGACAAAUAUGCGGAAUCUAAUGGAGAUCUGACAUCUCAUAUUUCUGGCCCAUCUUCUCAUUCAUGGGACACGAAUAUGUUUGCUAAAGUGCAGAAGAUCUGCAUGAGCACAUAUUGGGUAUUUCAAGUUUAUCCUAACCAUCUAGACAGUAGCUCCACCUCCCACCAUCUGCAUUCUACUUUCAAGGGGCUCAAAAUAUAAAUAUUCGAGUAUGUGCUUUAGGGAUUAAAUUGCACAAGUCGGGAAAAUAUUAAGCUUAGAUCCACGUUCACAGUUGACAGUAAAAAACAAUCUCAGUAAUUAAACCUCAUUAUCCUCCAAUUUAAAAUCCUUAACAACACUGACAAACAAAGGCAGUUUUACAUGCUUCGAAAGUUGGAACCAAGCAGACAAUUGUAGAGCGAUAAACUGCCAGGAUUCUCGGGAAAAAAGCCAGGAAUCUAACCAGUCCUAUGACAUAUUACCAACAGCCAGACGUGCACUUAGGAUUGCAUCCCAAUACAUCCAAUCACAUAUAGCAACACAAAUUGCUCCAAAACAAAUUCAAUACCGUUGGGAUAGCACUGGCAACACAAGCAAUUGCAGCUGCCUUGGCUCCUGCACGUACACCUUCUGCGAGGAGUGCACAGAAACCAUGAUUAUUUGCUUCUAAGAGCUCUAGAAACAUGUCACUUAUGCAUAGGCACAGAGACAUAAAGAUCUUGUUAGUGUGUAAAAAUAAUCAUAUGCUUUACUAACAACACAAGGAAAUCAAGAAAAGUGGAAUGCCAAUCCCUGGCAAGUUGGAGUCCAAAGCUACACUAACAGGAUGUCAUCAUUCAUGGAAAACAAAAGUCAUGACAACAGCUUACUACCCUUUUGCUUGGGAAGUCAAGCAAAGAUGUCCAAAAUUCAUCCUUCUGCUAAACAGUAACCAAAAAAAAAAUUACUGACAAGUUUUCUUUUAAGACUCAGUAGUCUUAAACUAUAGAAUAGCUUGUGUUGAUGCCUUAAAAUGAAUAUACAGCCUAAAAAAAUAUACAAUUGCUAAUGUGCCAUUUCCAUCCCUUAAUACUUCUUUUCAGCUUUCUCUUCAAAUUCACAUAAUUCUCCAACCCCAAAAUAGUAAUAAAGUUCCCAUCUUGCUUUCUCUUUUUCCUUUUUCCUCCAAAAUACAUCAGGAAAUCCUCGCAAGAAUUUUUUAAAUGCCUAUGGAAUUGUAAGAUUCAUUAAAGCAUCUGGUCACCUGAUGAAACUCAGACAAACAUCGCAGAAUAAACAGGCCCAAAAACAGAACAAUGAUCAAAAUGCAAAACUUAAAACCAACGAAAGUUUCUUUUCUUCAUCAGCUUCCCAAAAAGCUAAAAAAAAAACCCAGAAAAAGAAAAGGAAAGGAUUCUUUUUUCCUUUUGGAUUCCAACCUCGAGUGCACUCCCUUGAUCGACGAAUCUUCUCUUCUUCAACUGGAGAUGUAAUCCACAACGAUUCCCUUCUUUUGUUCAGCCAGGUAUUUCUCAUUUCUGAUGGAAUUCCCAUUUUUUUUUAUUUUUUGUUUCUCUUUUUUGUUUCUUUCUUUCCACCUAUGCUGCCUCCUCAAGAAUCUGUCGAGCAAAAAGCCGAAAUAAAUAAAGAGAAAAAUGUAAUUUUGGUCCCCAAUAUUUAGUAUAUAUGUAGCUUUAGUCCUCAAAUUUUUUGCUAAAAAUAGAUCCAGUUCUCAACAUUUAACACUUGUACAGUGUUAGUCCCUAAAAUUUUGAUAAGAACAAAAUUGGUUCUUGAUGUAUCCAAUUUAAAGCAAAUUUAAGCGAAUUGGAAAAAAAAAAUUUCCAAUUCACUCACGGGAUUUAGUCUGGUUUAGUGUGUCCAUUAAUUUGAAUUUAAGAAUUUAAAAAUAAAGAAGCAAACUAGCGGCUAAUGCUAAACAACAAAAUUAAGACUAAUUAACCAAUAAAACCAACUGUUAAAUAAGAAAAUUAAAUCCAAUCAAAGCGUCCAACUCAUCGAUCCAAAACUCAUUUUCACUAUCUAUCUCAUCAACCCUAGGUGAAAAACCCUUUUCGAGUGUCAUUCUCAUUAUUUAAAAUCAGGCGUUGUUUUGCUUCUUUUUUAAGAAAAAAAUUAAUUUGAUGAAUGCGUAACUAAAUUCUAUUUAUCGAAACUUUUAAGAACUAAGAUUGUGAAAAUACCAAACAUUGUUAAAGAUUAAAAUAACACAUUUGCUAAACAUUAGAGAUCAAGAGUAGACUUCUCCCAUAAAUAAAAAGCCCAUAUAAACGGUCAAGGGGAAGACAAACUCCAAUUUGGCUUUCGCUUUUGGAGUUGAAUUGAAUAAGUAAGUACUUUCUAUUUUUGUUCCCAGAGAGAAUAACAAAGAAAGAGGAGGAUAAGGGCACCGAACUCAAAUAGAGUUCUGAUAUAUGAGUAAUAAUAAUUAGUAUGUGAAGGUGAAUAUCUGAUUUUAAGUCAUCCAACUCAAAUAGAACGCGUCAAAUAUGAAAACCUCAAAAAUUAAUUGGACCCACUAAAUAAUAUAAUAGACUAGUAACCACUGAGCCAAACUCAAUAGCCACCGAUAAAUCCCACUUGUGGGCGGUAGGUGAAGGUUCAAAUCCCAUCUACAGCAAAAAAAAAAUCUAAGAGUGAUGCCAAAGUACCCCUUUGAUCUAAUAAGAUCUGUAUACAUGUUAGUCCCCAACACAAGUUUCUUUACGCUCCACCUCCCCUCUAGUUUAAGGUAGAAUAUGUUAUAUAACAAUUAUCGUUUCCGACAGAAAAAAUAAAAAAAAAGAAUAAUAAUAAGCUAGUAUAUAACUCUUAACCAAUCUCUUAAGAAAUCUGCCAAACUUGAAACAACGUCUUAAUCCAUGUUUAUAUGCCCAGAUUAAGAUUAACAGAUUCCGCAUGGAGUGGCCAAUCAGCUAGUUUCUGUCAUUUUAUUCAUUGAAGCCUGAAAAUCAAACGGGUCUUAGUUUAUGUGGUAAACAAUAAUCUGGGCUAACAGGCUAAGAUAAGAUGUAAAAAAUUUCGUCUGAAGCUGCCAAUCAGUUUAGUUUUUAUUCAUGAAGCCUGAAAAUCAAAACGGCAACAUGUCAAACCCCAACUACAAAACCAGCAGAAAGAGUUAAUACAGCUUCACAGAGUAUUUUGAGCCCCAAAAUAGCUGAAUAUUGCUCCACAUGUCGAAUGACGGAGUGAUGCAAGGCUGAGAAAAUAACAGGUGAUACAUUUUCUUCGCUACUAUGGAAAUUUCUUCUCUGCCUGUCCUGUUUCUUCUUAUAGGGUACCCGUCCUUCUGUUCUAAUAAGAAGAUGCCAAGAGGAUACAAAUUACUUUGUCCUAAGUUGCCAAUAGGAUCCAGAGGCCGGCCACCUCAUCCCCCAAAAUAGAUACCGAAAUGCUGAACUAAAUUGGGCAUCAGCAUUUCUAUGUUAACACUGGAGGAACUCAAGGAGUGAGAGAUCAAUUCCAUAGCCAAGCACUUAUCAGAUAGAUGCAUCAGAAAAGCAACUGGAUUCAAUAGAAUUACAAUGACGAGGACCAGCCUGAAUUUGUAAGUCAUGGGGAGGCAAUUAUUCUCGGGGAGGUAUAACAAUAAUACCCCCCCAGCAAGAGGAGGACCGUCUUCCUUGUUUUUAUCCAUCAAAAUAUGGGACCAUUGAAAAAAAAAAAUUUGCAUCUGGCACAGAAAAAUGUCACUUGCAUGAUACAAGAAGCAAUCCGCCGGACUAUAAGUGACAUUCUUUGACAUAGAAGGCAGAUUGCAUAGCAAUUGGAUGGUAAUGGAAAUCUAUUUUAACAAAAUCAACUUGCAUUCAAAAACCCCAAGCAUCUCAAUCAAAUCAUUCCAUUAAGUAUCACCCAUUUAAAAGGGAGGAAACAGCUUAUCAUAAGCAAAGAGAAGAUACAGUGAUGGAUAAUAAUAAUUGAUACAAGAAAAAUACUACAUCCUUCACUUUUGAGGUUGAAGCACACGCAGACUCGUCCAAGACCUCCAUAAUGAUAUAAAUAAUAGUAUUCUGCAACAAAUUCCAACUUCAGAUUGAAUAAGAUAGGGAAAAUGGAAGGUCAAGAUAAUUGUAAGGAGAACGAGAUGCAAAACAACAUUGAAAUAUGUCCAAUGAUUGAGGGAAAAAGGUAAAACAAGCAGCAUACCAGCAAGCCUAGAAACUCUGAUCAAUAAGAUAAUCACCCAGCCUUUCAACAAUCAUGUUGCACUGACCGGCAGUCAUAGGCUCAUCAUAUAUACCAAUAAUCAAAGCCAAGUUGGUCUUCUUAACAGUAAUCCCUCCAGGCCCCUGAAAAUUUUGUCUGAAAUAUGUCACGAAAUACAUAGUACAAUGUAAAAAGACACAAGAGGAGGGAGUGGCCAAGACUCCCCAAAGAGACCAUCCAAUACCAAAACAUUUCAUCAGGUUCUGUUCCAACUGCACCCUUGUCUUCUUUCCCUAACUCUUCUGUCUCACUCAAUCUCUCUCAUCAUACCCAAAAAUGAACAAAAUGUAAUAUUGAACUUACAGAAUUUACUUGUUGAAAUUUUGAACAAGCAUACAAACGUAUCUCCACUGAGAAGAGAAAUGCAUUAAGAGGCCGAAGUUCAAUGGAAAAUGUCUCUUUCAUCACACACUCUUGUUUCUACUCAGUUUUUCUUUCUUUUUUUUUUUUUAAAUAGUACCGCGUAAAAUAUGGUGCAAUUUUUUGAACAAAGACCAAUUCUAUAGACCUACUGAACUAUUGAUAUCCCAACUUAACAAACUGCAGAAUUAUGCAUUCCAAUUUGACGAGAAGCAACUACUUAGUAUCGAAGCUGGAAGCUUUUCCAUGUGAAAAGUUGUACUGGAAUAAACAGAUGACAACUAUCAUAAAUCAAGACCCACAAGAAUAUGUAGGGAAUAGAUACAAAUGUAAUACUCCCGCAGACUAGAAAUAUAACGUCCAACCAUUACCUUCUUUCCUCUGAUAACAGCCCCUGAUUCCCCUUGAAUCACCAUAUACUUUGUGCCACCGAGAUACAGUCCAGUUGGAGCAAGGGUCCCAGGUUCAGAAAAAUCAUUCAUAAUAGCUGCGAUCUCCUCUGGCUUAAACUGUUGAAAAACAAUCAGAAAGAAGAAUCAGUUAAAAUAAGUAGGACAGAUUCAAUUAAACUACAACUACUAAAAUGCAAUAAGCAUGUCAUUAUACAAAUGAACUAGACCAAAACACUUGGGAAAAUAAAAUCAAAAUCAACAAAACAAAUUAGAUGACCAGAGACGCAUAAUUUUACAAUAAAACAACAGUGAGCAAUUUUCAAGUCGCCAUGCCAACGCCUGCAUAUUUGGUUACCUUCCAAUUGCCUUGCACACUAGUUGCCCAACAGUACACAAACCAGAACCAUCAACUCGUACACUAACCCAGUUUCAUAACAAUAAAGUGAUCAUUGAGAUCCUUCUUCUAGCUUCCAUGCCAAAGAGACAAGAGUAAAUUGAUUCAAUAAGAUAUUUCACCCUUUCUUUUACAUUUGAAGUUCACAGGAUCAAUUAUGAACUCCAAUGCAAUAUGAGAAGAAAAAAAAAAGCAAGGCACAUAAAAGAGCAUUCUCAGGAGGUCAGGUAAACAUUAUACAGGGACAAUAAAUCAUGCAACAUAUGAACUAUAGUAGCCAAUAAAGCCAAAUUCGACGAUACGUACUCAUCCCUCCAUCCCAUAAAAUUUGUCUUCUUGGUUUGGAAGCAACUUUUAAGACAACUUCAUCGUAAGAAAACAAGGCAUUUAAGUUUAAAGAAGGCUAUUAUUUAAAAUACAGAGCAUAUUAAAUUGAAUUUUUCCAAAAGUGAAGAAAUCAUAGAUGUUACAGAAAGGGAAAGCAUGAUUUUAGUAAUGGCACAGAGAAUAUUAAACUGUACAAGAUUAAAAUUUAUAUGAAGUGGUUAUGACGUGGAACCUUCAUUCCGUGCCCAUGUGUACCUUCCGAAGCUACAAAGCCUCGAGCCCGAUUAGUUAAUGAUUCAGUCUUUUUUUUAAAAAAAAGGGCACAAAAUCAAAUUUGCCAAGAGAUUGCCUUCAUCAAAAUUGGUUUUUGCCCAGCAUUCCAACUACUCGUAACAAAAAUCAAACAAACUAGCCCCAGUAGAACAAAAAAGGUAGUGUCUUUGCACAAACGCAACAUCCCUCGAACCCUAAAACUCCUUCCGAAUUUCCACUGAUACGGAAAUCUUAAGACUUUCAUCGAAAUGACCAAUCAUCUGCCAAUAUCACUUCUCACGAAAUCCAUAAAUCUGCAUUUAUUAUUAUUUGUUAAGUCCCAAAGUCAAUUAAUUUGUUGAACUUAUCGCUUUCUCCCUCAGACUACAAGCACCCAAUCUGAGCCCAUCUCAGAGUCAGAACAAAAUCACGAGAACAGCUAAUUUAAUCAUACAAAUCAUAGGAAAUCAGUACAUCAUCUUCUACUGAAAUUACCCUAAAUUUAAAAAUUCAACAAGGGGGGGGGGAAUCUGAAAUCUGAAUUAAUCUAACUGAACUAAAUUAUUAAAACCCUAGUAAAUCAGUCCACGGCAAUAAAAUCCAGUAAAGGACACCAACUUUAAAUGCAUAAACAAAGGGAGUUCAAAGCAAAUCCAAUCAAAGGAGAGUUGAACAGAAAAAGAGGUGGACCGGAGGGAAAUUAGCGCUCUGAGCCCAAACGGUGCCGUCAUGGCCGAUAAUAGCGGCAGAUGUGAGAUGGGUCCCCUCGAUCUCACACAUCAAGUGGUCAUCAACAUACGAUUGCCACGACAUCUUCUCCUCCUCCUGCUUCCGCUACUCCUGCCGACUAAGGUGUAGACUUUGUCUUAGAUCUUUGAGGUUAUUUUGCUCUUCCUUCCUUUCUUAUCGAGAAAUUGAAGAAGUGGUGAGAGGAGACGACCACGGUUAGGGGAUUUAUGUUUGUUUAUUGGGAGAUGGAAAAAAAAGAGUUGCGUUGAUUUUAAGCUUUUAAUGUUUGUAAUGAUGGCGAUGAGUGAUGAUGAUGAUGAUGAUGGUGAUGGGUAUAUGCUAUCGUAUUUUGGCAGAAUUCUGAUGCCUUGAAUUACCACAAUAGUCCCCUCAUAUUUUAGAUACUGACUAAUUGCGCCCCACAUUUCUAUUUUACCAAUUUUAUCUUUUUUCUUUUUUUCAAAACAAUAAGCAGUUUCUAUUGAUCACAAAAGCUAUACAGUUGCGAGCAAUGGCUCGAUCAGACUAUACAAUCACUGUACUUGCACACUAAUAGCUAGUUUGGGAGCAUAAGAUAGAAAAGAAAAAUGAGAAAACAUUAUGAAAGAAAAAAAGAAGAGAAAAUAAUGGCAGUGAUUUUGAUGUUAUUUGAGAGUUUAAGAAAAUAAUGAAAUGACUUUGGAUAUAUAUGUUAUUAAAAUUUUGUUUAGUGCUCAUCUAAGUAUAGAAUUUGUAUUUUGAAAAAAUUUGUAGAUUUUCUUCAACGUUCUAUCCAAAUCAGGUAAUAAAUGAGCAUAAAAGUUUUCUAACUAUAUUUUCGGGCGUGAGUAAACUCACAAAUGAGAGAAAAGUAUUCCUUGCCCUUACUUUCAUUUCUUUUUCUAUUAAAUCCCAUCUCCCAAACUAGCUAUUAUAGGAAACAAAAGCUCCUCUUUUGAGAUUCUAAAUUUUAUCCAUAGUGGUAUGUCUGAAAUUCUGAAUCCCUAGUUCAAAAUUGUCUCUUUCACAAAUAGUCGAGCAUAUAUUAGAUCAAUAUUAUAUAGGAGAUAAAUGUUGGAGGAGUUUCUCAUGCUGAUUUUGACACGAAAGAUAGAAGUAGAAGUUCAUAUUUUUUGGUCUAUAUGAAUUGGACAUUUUCAAAGGUAUUUUUUAAAAAACGUUACUAUAAUUUUGUAUAUUAUAAUCUUUCACAACAUAUGUAUUUUUGGGUGUUUUUAAGAUUCAAAAUUUUGUUAGGAUAUUUUUAAGAAUUUUCUUAUCCAUCCUCCUCCCCCGCCCCCCAUCCUCCUCUCCAUUUCUUGUAAGCAAACAAUUGAAUUUGAUCUUUGUCCUAAAAAGAUAAUCACCCGAUCUAAGCCUACCAAAAACGGUACAUUGUGUAUGCAAAUGUAUGUGAGUCUACAUAUAUGUGUGUGUGUGUGUUUGAAGGAUCAAACUAUUUCUCUUCAAACAUAAAGGGCAAAAUACAGAUUUUUGAACCAUGUUGGGGUUUUUUUUUUUUUGGGGUGGGGGGGGGUCUUGUUAGAAAUUUCCCUAAGUUUAAAGAAUCACCGCAAAAUUAGAAAAAGGGGAUGUGUAGUGGGGGAGAAAAUGAGUUGGUCGUGUCUGAAAAAUGUAUGUGAUGUCGCGUUGUCAUUCACUGUGGACUCCACGUGCCCACUUGAGGGGACUACCCUACCUCCUCUUAUUUUUAUUGAAUAUUUCAGACUUGUACUUUUCCUCUUGAUUUACGCUUUCCUUUCCUUUCCUUUCCUUUUAUAGCGGUAAUUGGCCCAAAGUGGUCCUUUCCUUUCCUUUCCUUUUAUAGCGGUAAUUGGCCCAAAGUGGCAGUGGAGCAGGAGGAACCCAAUAAAUCACCCCCACUAUUAUUAAUUUAUUAUGGUUGAAAUGGAGAGCCAAUCAAAAAAUUAUUAAUAUGGCUUUAAUAAUUCUUAAUUUGGAAAAAUUAGAGUGAUUACGUAAUGAUGAUAAAAAUAGAUACUAUUAUUUUACUCGUUCAUAGAUUUUAUAUUUCUUUUAGUCGUACUUCGUAUGGUAGGUCUAAAAAUUUCAACUUUUGAACCGUCCGAUCGAAUAUUUAAGUACAUAAACAUGUCUAAAUCAUUGCCUUAAAAUGAAUGCUAAUUCAAUAUUUUCAUUCUUCCCCCUUUCCUUCCUCUCAUCCUCCUCCAAAAACAAAAAAAAAAAAAAAAAUUCAAGGAGAAAGAAAAUCAGUCAAUCAGAAGAGUAGAAGAGUACCAUGGGACUCGGAAUAAAAGAAUAGACACUCUAGAUGGAUAUUAAAAAGAUAUUAGCUAGAGAUUUAUUCGAGUUGAAAAAAAAAAAAAUGUUACUACUAUUAGUGAAGAAGCUAAACCAACUCCAGUUGGAUCAUCUAUUGGGCUCUGAACUUACAUAUUGACGUCAUUUGAUGAUCUACCAUGAUUGGGUCUGUUUAGCCUGCGAACUACAAGCCCUCCUUAAAAUGUCCAUCCAUCACUGCUACUGCCUACUAGGCCCAACACUCAAGUCCACAUUCAUUGGGUCAUGCCACCAGAAUCUCGAGUCUGCUAUAUUACUAUAGUUGUUGGAGAAGGGCUGAAUCCAUACCUCUGCACAGUAAAUCCAUAUUAUAUACAUUUAGUAGACAUUAAUGCCUUUAACUUUUAUGCAUUAACACAAAGCUUUUUAAAGUAUUUAAAAUGUCUUUCUAUAUAAUGAAAACAAGGAGUAAUAAUAUAUUUUCUAAAGAAAAAAAUUUAUGUACCCCAAAUUUUAUAUUAAUUCAAUGGUGGAAUUUCUUUUCUUGUUUAUUUUAUUCCAAAAUUUAUGUUUUCUCUGAAGUUGAUUUGGUUAUUUCUUUUUUCUUUUUAUGAGUUUUCUACCUUUAUUUUGUUGAAUUGUUUUUUUUAUACUAAUUUACGUAUAAUCAAAGAGCGGAUUUUAGUUUGAAGAAGUCAUUAUAAUUGCAUGUUGAACCUUCAAAAUUGCGGACAUUUUAAUUCUAUGGAAUUGAAAUAUAUAGACAUUGUUAUUUACAUGUUUAUUUGUAACUGAAAAAUCAGGAACGCUUAAUUUGAUAUUAAAUUAAAAAUUAAAUAUCUUUAAGUAUUCAUAAGAUGUUUCAAAAUAUUCUUUUUAUACGAUGUAAAUAUUUUAUCUCCUUUUCUAUUUUGUCAAUAUAUGUUUCUUAAAUCCACAAGAACCAUCGAAUAAACUUAAUAAAUACGAGCAUUAUUCUCUAUUUUUUUUUUUUUUGUCAAACGGCAAUGUACGAGCAUUAUUCUCUAUUGAGUGCACGAGAUGUGGAUUUAGCAUGGAGGGGCAUGAAUUUAGCCUUUCCCUACUCCAAAAUAUAUACGUAGAACGUACCACAACCAAGGCGAUGGAUACGUGGGCAGUCUCGUACUUUCAUUUUAUACUUGAAUGGAAUCAUUUUGGGUGGUUUUUAGGGAUGACAAUGGGGCGGGGGAUGGGGGUUGUCAAAUAACUCCCCCCGUCCCCCGUCCCUUGCCCCCCACCCCUGGUCCCGUUUUUUCCACGGUCUCCCGUUUCCAUGUCAGAUUAACUCUUUUUUUAUAUAAUAUUAAAAUUUUAAACCAUUUAAUUGUCGUAAAAUGAGUAUUAGUAUACAAGAUGGCAGAAAUUCAUAUCCAAAGCCCCAGCAUAGCUUCAAAGCAAGAUAGAGCUUUUCCCAUUAAAUAAUAGCAUUUACCGGUCUCCUGAACUAAUUAGUUAAAGAUAACCCGUCCAUAAUAAGUUAUAUCCAUGACUAUCUAAAAGGAUUUAAUAACUCAGAAUUCAACAAACUAAAAACACUUAAUAAUAAAUCAAACUUUUCUCUUCAUUAAUAUAAUUCAACAACUUCAGAACAUUUGCUCUUCAUCAACUGGAGAUGUGAUAACUCACUUGAUAUAGCAACUCUGACAUUUGAUGUUAAAAUAAAAGAAGAAUCUUGUCACCAAACUAUAGUGUAUAACAAAUAAUUGGAGAAAAAUAAUUUAAAUGAAUUAAAUUUAUUUAGUACCUAUUCAGUAACACAAUCAACAUCAUCUUUUUCAUCCAACAAUGUAUUACAUGACAUCCCUCCUGAAGUAGAGCAAGUAGCUGCAGCAAAAAAAAAUUAGCCAUUGAUGAACCAACCCAAGUCAAAGGAAAAGACCAAAAACAACGGGAUGAUUUUGUGAAACGAUGGAAAUCAGCUGAAAAAUCAAAUAGCAAAACUACAUUUGGUAGUUCUUAAUCUCCAGCAACCUAAACGUGAAGUAUUAAAAAAAUAAAAGUAAAUUUUAAGUACCACGGCCCACGGCAAAGGAAAGAGACAUCUAAAGGAAUUGACAAAAAUGGGAUCUUAAGUUUUAAGCACCACGGCAAAGGGAUUGACACAAAUACAAUCAUUUAUUCACCACGCAUGUUUCAUUAAUCUAUCAAGAUAAGAAUGAUAAGGAAGCAAACCUAGAAAGAAUUCAAGAGCGGAUGAAAGCAAAGCGUUAAAAAAAACGCAGAAUAAAGAGGGUAGAAGGUCCAGACCGUGUGACAGUCGGCAGAUGAUGUGAAGGAGCAGCUUUAGAAAAUUUAGAAUUAUUUUAUGUGUGUGUGUAUAUAUAUAUAUAUGUUUUUGCGGGUCCCAUCCCCGCCCCCAUCCCAUUUUUACUUUUACACCAAUUGCUAUCCCUAGCGGUUUUGGACAAUUUCAGCAACAACCGGCCAAGGGAAGGGUCAAGAGUCCAAACCAUCGACCCUAGAAAGAGGAUAAUAUAAUGGUCAACCAAGCCUAAGACAAAUGUCUUUUUAACAAAUGUUUCGAGAACAAACGCUUACCAGCCCCACAUCUUUGGGUAAUUUCACACGGCCAGACAGAAAAAAGCGCAGUGGCGCCACCUGUUUUUAAUACAACCGGCUCAAAGGAUUCGCGGUUUCCUGCUAAAGUCGCGUUCCUCUUCCGCCUCUCCUUCCCCACUUGACCUUCUACUUUUCCAGUCAGUUUUGAAUAAGAAAAGCUACUAAAACGCAAAAUAAUUAUCUCUUUUUUAAGAAAACAUAAAAAAAAGGAAUAGAUAUAAUCUGUUUCUUAUACUAUAAAUAAAAUCCAUUAAUUUGUGCUUUUUAAACGACUAAAAAUGUUUAAACAGAAAGAUUCGCAACCAAUUUCGUAAAACUUCUUAAAAGUGAUGUGAAAAUUGUCCAACUUACCUCUCAUUUUUUGAUCAUUAAACUGAAUCUUUAUUCCGUCCUAAUUAAAACCACCGUCGUUAAAAUUUAGUAAAGAUAGCUAACUAAGUACUAAUUUGCCAUCAUUAAUGAACCCGUGAUUCUUGUCUCCCAAGAAGCUUCCACUGAUCCAUCCCUCUUCUCUUCUUUCCAGAAUAUAAACCACCGUCAAUAGACUUAUAAAAAAACAAAAUUCAUUUAAUUAACUAAAUUAGUCAAAAAUCUGAUCAGCUCUGUUAAGGCACUACUGAGAGGGAUGGGGACUCCGAACAAUACCGCCGGCGGCGAAGAGAAUGGGGUGAUGAUGAAGGUUGUCGCCGGUCCCGGCGGUUACAUUCUCCAAGAUGUCCCUCACUUAACCGACUACAUCCCCGAUCUCCCUGUCUGUAUCUUCUUCCUUCCUCUCUUUUUGUAUGAAAUUGAUUUUUCGUGCUUUCGCGCCAUGUUAUGUAAUUAUUAUACACAAGUGCACGUGGGGACUGGGGAGCGUAUUUUUUGAAAUAUGAUGCGGAUGAUUUGGUUGAAGAUGUAAUCCUUCUUUGUGGAAUAGGUUUUAUGUUCGUGUGUCACUAUUGGCGAACUUUAGAAAUUUCAUGUUGUCGAUAUCAGGAGGUUUUGCUGCUUCUUCUUUUUAAUUUAUUUUUUAUUUGUUUUAAUUACGUCAGAAAUCGUAUAUCCGGUCGUGAUGUGAUAGUUUCUACUGAUUCGCAUAUCGAAGGAUUAAGGUGAUUAGGUGCAGGAAAUUUUAGUCUGAAGGAUUCUUGAUACCUGAAUUUACAGAAAUAAUUUUUCAACGUAUAAGCAAUGAUCCAAUAUAAUUUACAGGAAAACGGGCGUAGUUUGUGUCUCCAAAUUCUCGUUUUCAACUUGCAAACUUGCAAGUGACAGGAAUGCUGUCUUCAUGACAAAUCAGUUCUUUAUUUAAAAUUAGCGCAAUGUUGUAAAAUUUCUUGUUUAAGGAGUUUUAUGGAUUACUUGAGGAACGUGGUCUUAUCUGGUCGUAAUGAGGUAUUAUUACCUCUUGAAUUUUGUACCUCAUGGAUUAGGGGUUUCGGUUUUCAUUCAAAUUAAGGAAUUAGCUUUUUGAGUUUCCUUCACAUUGACAAUCGAAAUAGCUUGUAAUUAUAUUUCAUGCAUGGUGAGCUAUAUUUAUUUUUCCUGUGUUGGAUCUCUUGUAGAACAGCAUGAAUCUGGUAAUAUGAGUAACUUAUUAGUGGAAACAAGAGAAGAAUUUGUUUUGCGAGAGUUUUAACUCUUCACUUGCCUUACCAUCUUAUUGUUAAUAAUAUCCUUAAAAGUUGUUGAACAUAACGCCAAAGGGAACAACAAAACUGCAAUUGUUAUAUGAUAGUUGUACUGCACAUCUGUGCAAGUCAAUAGGCACUUUUUGAGCUAGUGCUAAGCAUGAAUGGUCUAUGGAGAGUAACGUUUUUAUUUCAGCCAGUAGUCUACAAUGCUCCAAUGCUCAUUCCCAUUGCUAGUUCCUUAUGAGCACGGUCAUAGAUUAUAUGACAAUAUUCUUGUCAUGUGAGUGUCGCACUUUUCUCUUUUCUCUCUAUUUGUUUUUUUCUUUUUUAGUAUGUGUCCUUAUUGGGUUCUUGGUUCCUUGGCAGACUCAUCCCAACCCACUGCGGUCAAAUCCUGCAUAUUCAGUUGUGAAGUAAGUCCAGUUAGUUUUUACUUAUGCAGAGUGGUAAGUUACCUUUUCUUUGCACCUUAAUCAAAAGAAAAUGAUGCAUUUUUUACUUUCAGGCAGUACUUUGUUCACAUGGAUGACACCGUGCCACAAAAGGUGGGCUCUUAACUCUGCUGGCUGUAUUGGGACUUAAAUAUUGAUAUUCUUGAUUGGUACUUAACUAACCAGAAACCAACUUUUGGGCGUUGGGUUUUUUUUUUUUGGGGGCAGGGGGUUGUGGCAUGGAAAGAAUUCAGGUGCACGGUUGUCAUCCGUGUAUUCCAUAAAGAAUUUAAGAAUGCAAAAGUGGACAAUUAAAGCUGGAUUAUAUCUUUUUCUUCUGGAGCAUAAUGGAGUAGCAUUCGCUCAUUUUUUCCCCUGUAUCGUUGUACAUGCUCCAACUGAUGGAUAGAAAUUGGUAUCAGUUUAGCCCAAACCACAAUCUUUUUUUUGAACAAAAUAUCAUUGUAUGGUUUAACGUUUUCAGCAUGCAGCUAGUGAUAGUUUAAGUUUGCUUAUCUUUUCUGCUUAGGAUAAGGCAAUUUGUGUUGAUAUAACAAUCACUAGCAUUACAUUUGGAACAGGACUAGGUGCAAAGAUAGGUUGUCCAAGUCAUGCCUCUCUGUUAGAGGUGUUCCAGAAAUGUCUGUGAUCAAGUAAAUAGCUCUACAAAGGAAUAUCCUUAUUAUCCCUUCUCAUGACACUGAUGCUAGACUUAUCUAGACAAAGACACUUACUAAUAUGUCUUCCUUCUAAUGCCCCUCUUCAGUUCUCUAUCAUUUGCUCUCUAAUGGUCCUUUUUCGAACAAUAAGGCUGCUAAUAUACUUGUUUUAAAAACUGGUAGCAAACUUAAACGGUCAUUGUCUCAAACAGUCAGUCUAUCUGCUACCUUUGGUUCCCACGCUUUGUAAAAUGUUCUUUGUGCGCCUCUUUGGGGUGUUGCUACAACAGCAGCAACUGAAACAUGUUCUUCUUAUUUCACCAAAUAUAGCAUUCUCAAAGCAUCUUAUAUGUAUCCCUUUACUUAUUAUUUACCUAUUGCAAAUGAAGUUCUUGCAUCACAUAGCUAUUUAUCUGUAUAAGCAGUAGUUUGAAUUGGCAUACGGAUGUGUAGCUGUAAACCAAUAUGCAGAAAGAGUGACAGAGAUGUGCUACUAUUAGAUUGAUGGAAUGAGUUUGUUGGGAAUUGAAAUGACUAAUCAGUGUGCCUGGUUUGGGAUUGUCUUCCUUUAAAUUGUCCCUUGGUACUUAUUUUGUCAUGCCAUUGAAGUUGAGGGUACAUCUUUUCUUCUCUAUUUGAUAUGACAUGUCUGAUCAACGUUUCUUGCACCUUAAGUAACUCCUUUUUUUUUCUUUUUCUUUUUUUAAAUAUUGCUCUUUAUUAGUUGUAAAGGUUGGUAUGAAAUUUUCUAGCCUUUUUUCCGCAUAUAUUCUUCCUUUGAUUAAAACAAAAGAGUGUUGCUGCUACACUUUCAUGCUAGCUAUUCAUAUUAGUUAGGCAUUUAGAGCCACUGCAUGGAAUUUUCAACAAUAUCUUUUCGUUCAUAUUAAUGUAUUCACGACCUCUUUUUAGGUUGUUGUCCAUAAGGAUAGUCCGAGGGGGAUACAUUUCCGACGUGCUGGACCACGCCAGAAGGUAUUGACAUUCUUUGAAUGUGAAUAUUGGUUAAAGGUCAAUCUAGUUUACAUUCACUAAUGCAAGCGUUGUUUGUGCUCAGGUAUAUUUUAAAUCAGAUGAUGUGUCUGCUUGUAUUGUGACAUGUGGUGGUUUAUGCCCGGGGUUAAACACGGUGAUCAGGGAAAUUGUUCACAGUCUUGAUUAUAUGUAUGGUGUCAACAAAGUCCUCGGAAUAGAUGUAAGUUGAAGGGUUCCUGACUUUGGAUUUCACUUCUACUAUUUCCACAGUGCUUUUCAAAUUGAAAAGCAUUGUUUUGAGCACAAACUUCAGUGUAUAAACUCAAAAAGAAAAAUACUGAGCCUUGAACUUUUUAACAACUUAUUCUGCUAAAUGAAUUUAUGCAUGAAAUGAAAUAAUAUUGAAGCGGCUUUUUGACUUGAAAGUUGCUUUGUUGGAUAAGUGAUCAUGCUCAUGUUUACUAUUGAGUGAGAUAGUUACUUAGAUUUAGGAAUAGUUGUAAUUUUAAUAAUUAUGUUGAAACUAAUUUGCAUGGUAAAUGCUGAAUGGAGGAUGCAAAUGCUCUUACUGCUUGCUUUCAGUGAGUAAUAUGCUUAAACUAAACACUUGUAGCUUCCAAGGGUAUGGGAUUGAGCUAUAUAGUUGUAUAAGACAAUGACAUCAUCGGCUUCCUAUUUUUAUUGCCAAAUGUUUUACAGAAAUGAAAUUGCAAAUUUCCCUUCUGCUAAGCUUAAGCUUUUUUCUUUUAAUUUACAAACAAGAUUUUGGGGCAUGAUGUGAUCCUUUUUUACAGGGAGGCUACAGGGGUUUCUAUUCAAAGAAUACCAUUCGAUUAACACCUAAGACUGUGAAUGACAUACAUAAACGUGGGGGGACGAUCCUUGGAACAUCUCGAGGAGGGCAUGAUACAUCUAAAAUUGUUGACAGCAUUCAGGACCGUGGAAUCAAUCAGGUUUGUCAAAUUGUGUGGUAUAACGUAGUAAUUAUCUAAAGAGUAAGUUGUGUCACUGUUAUCAUGACACCGCUUUGGCUCGUAAAAAUUCUGGAUUGAGUCUGAUACUGCAAGCAAUUAUCAGGUUUAUAUAAUUGGAGGAGAUGGUACUCAGAAAGGAGCUGCUGCAAUCUACAAGGUAUGCCUGUAACUCUGCAAAUGAAAAGACCGUUGCAUUAUAACUUCUAGUGGAAGAGUGUCCAUGAUGAUUCACUUUCUUUGAAGGGGCUCUUAUAUGGCCUGCAUGAAGGAUAAUUGGCAUGAGAUGCAUAGGCCUCUUAGUUUGAGAGAGCACUGAGAUGCUACUUAGCAAUUGGUAUUUUGCUAUUUUGUGAUGUCUCUCCUAAUAAUCGUUAUAUGUCAUGCAGGAAGUUAGGCGUCGAGGUCUUAAAGUUGCUGUUGCUGGAAUUCCGAAAACAAUUGAUAAUGACAUUCCGGUAUUUGUGGUUUAAAAUGAUUAUGACAUGGAUGUUUUCUGGUUUCUCAUGCAAAAGUGCUUUAGUUUCUCCAUUUCUUGGGUGAUAAUUUGGUUGAUAAAGGAAAAAGUCAAAAUUUAAGUUACUAUAUUCUCCUGAGAAUGUUACAUAGGUUUUCUUGCUGAUCUUCCUUGAUGAUUAUUUGAACAGUCAAACUAAUUGUUUUUCUUGCUUAAUGCUUAAAUCAAUUCAUAAAUUCACCGAAUUAAUUAUCUGUCUGCAGAGGAGAAUAUGGAGAAACUUCAAACAGCAUUAUAAUCUCAAGCAUGCAUACUCAUAAAACUGGAAGCAAUGGAUGUUGUCAUGUUAAAUUAUUGUCUCAUUGACAUAUGAAAACCUUUAAUCUUUUAUUUUUUAAUGACUUAUUAUCUUGUCUUGUCAGGUCAUUGACAGGUCAUUUGGAUUUGAUACUGCUGUGGAAGAGGCUCAGCGAGCUAUCAAUGCUGCUCAUGUUGAAGCUGAAAGUGCAGAGAAUGGUAUUGGUGUAGUGAAGCUAAUGGGUCGAUACUGUGGUAAGGUUUCUUUAAUACCAACUCAACUUCACUUGUAAGAUGAGGAUAUUUACCAGUUAUGGGCAUCCAUCCUCCCUAGUUUUCCUGGAUUAGCAUGCCUAUUUCCUUUUCGCCUUGACUUCUUUCCCUGCACUUUAAAAUGGUGCUAAAUUGGACCUCUAGCUUGCAAAUUAGCUAAAGAAAUGUUAUUAACUGAAUUCGACCAAAAUAUUAAGUCUGCUUUAAGGCCUGAAGGAAAUUCUGUAAAAAUAAGGGUUAAUCAAGCAUUAUUUUCGUCUAAUUAUGAUAAAUGGUGAAAUGAGGUGAAAUUGCAGCCAUGGAAUUUUUAUGCGGCCCUUCUUUAUCAACUUUUUAAAUGCUUAUCACUGUUUCUCAUCCCUCGCUGGAUUUGUUUGAGAUUCUUGGAAUUGUAUGUGCAGGAUUCAUUGCACAGUAUGCCACUCUUGCCAGCCGAGAUGUCGAUUGCUGUUUGAUUCCAGAGUCACCCUUCUAUCUUGAAGGAAAGGGGGGACUUUUUGAGUUUGUUGAGAAAUGUUUGAAGGAAAAUGGACACAUGGUGAUUGUGAUUGCUGAAGGAGCAGGACAGGAGCUAUUAGCAGAAAGCGGGCAUGCCAACGAUGAACAGGAUGCUUCAGGAAACAAGUUACUCCAAGAUGUUGGUUUGUGGAUCUCACAAAAAAUUAAGGUAUCUGUUAUGAUCUUUGUAGAGGUUUUGUUGAAUCAUCUGGUUCUUUGCUGGUAUUGUUGGUCUGUGGUAUCUGAUUAGUAAUUGCUUCAUCCAUUACUAUAGCUGGUAGGCAUCCGUACAUGUUUGUUUCCGUUAAAAGUUGGUAUUCUUCUAACUGCAUUCAUUUGUUUUGCUGAUGCUAUUGAGUAGUAAAUCUGCUGACUAAAUGCCAAACCUCCUGUUGGUAAAACAUGUAUAUGAUUCUGCAAAUCUUCUGUGGCAAUCCUAUCCUCCUUCAGGGAAGAGCCCGAAUUGUAGUGACGUAUAACAGUGGAAGAACUGCUUAGUUUGGCAACUAAUCUUGUCUUUCUUUUUCUAGGAUUAUUUUGCUAAGCAACGUAAAAUGGCUAUCACCCUUAAAUAUAUUGGUGAGUAACUUUGUCCUCACAUCUGAUCAGUUGUGAAACAUUUUAAAGAUUGGGAGCUAACAAAUAAAUUGGCAGAUCCAACUUACAUGAUUCGAGCUAUUCCUAGCAAUGCAUCUGACAAUGUGUAUUGCACACUCCUUGCUCAAAGUGCUGUACAUGGAGCAAUGGCAGGAUACACGGGCUUCACUAGUGGACUUGUUCAUGGUCGGCACACGUAUAUUCCUUUCAAUGUAAGUCCCUCAGUACCAUUAAGCAUCUUGUUAUUAUGCUUAGAAGUCUUUCUACCUGUGGCUGCAAUUUAAAGAUGUUCUUCUAUGACUUUGCAUCUACAGUGGGUACUGUACGAUACAAAUACGCUACUUUUUGAGUAUAAUCCCUUUCUAAGUCCUCCAAACCAAAUUUCUAGAGUAUUUGUGGUCUGGCUGAACAAAUACGAAAAGCUACCUUGCUAUGUAUGAUCUUGUUCUUUCUUAUGUGUUGAAUAAUAUGUUUCAUGAUUCAGCGCAUCAUUGAGACACAAAACAAGGUUGUGAUAACCGACAGAAUGUGGGCUCGACUUCUUUCUUCGACCAACCAGCCAAGCUUCUUGGGUCCUAACGCUAUUGUUGAAGCCAAAAAAGAGGAAGCACCGGAAACCCAGUUAUUGGAUGAUGAUGGAGCGAAUUCAGGUAAUGGUGACACGGGUAAUCAUAAAAUAGAAGCACGUGACACUUGAAAAACUCUCCUCUUUCCCCCAGUUUGCCAAUGCAAUUGCUCUCCCUGCCACCUUUGCAUCUGAUGCCAUAUUUUGGAGUAAUUUCUGAUUAAUCGGAUCGUGUAGGAAUCAACAUCGAUGGUCUCUUAAGAUGCCUCCGCUGCAGUUAGUGACUUUGUAAUACCCCAAAAGUUUUGUCUAGCGGAGACUGUGUGCCAGUGAAAUAUGGCAAAACAUUCUGUUGCUUUUUGAGGCCUUGAUUCUUUGUAUGUGUAAUCAGCUAUCGGAAGGGAAAGUGAGUCCACCUCUGAGUUGCAGCUUGAAUAGUCUUUAAGCUUUUGACUCCAAGAGCCCUUUCCCCCUUUCAGAAAUAAAGUAGAGGUUUUCUAAUAUACACUCCUCUCUCCGUGCCGAUGACAUGCUAUUGUGAUUUGUGAGAGGGAGAGACUCGGGGAAGGUUCCGAUACCUUUUUUCCCAGUUUCUAUUGUUAAAUGCAGCUAUAAAAGCCCGGAAUAUUACAAACAAGUCCCAUUAACCUCCUGUAUAAUUGCUCUCCAUGCAAAAGAAUAAACAAAAAAGAAUGUGGGCAGAGGGAUGGUUGAUUAAGAAGUCAUCCGUACACCUGUGAUGGUAACUAGAAAACUUCAAUAAAAAUAAAAAGAAAAUUCUUUUGGCAGCAAAAGAUUUCCCAAAAUCUUCCCGUUUAUCUUCUGUUUUGUCGUCCUGUUAAGAAGGGAAGGCUUGUGGCUUUUGGAAUGGUGAACCGUGCUUCGCAAUGAGCGGGUUGCAUUUAAUGGGUAUCAAUGGGUGUCUGGUAGGUCCUGUGCAGGUUCUUCUGGUCACCGCAGCAUCUUCUGCAAACUCAUCUUCACCAUCCCUCUUUUAUGCGCAACCGACUGCUGAUAAUUCUGCCACCGCUAGGACUAGAUUUAGUGAUGAGAUGACCAGAGAAGCCAGUAUGGCUGGCUGAGGAUUUUGUGCAAUCAUCAACGCCUGACACCUACCGUAAAUGAUCCACUGCCUAUCUUAUCGCAUCCUCCGGUAUGUAUCAACAGUUCCAUCGCAAGCAGCUCCAUUACAACGUGAUGUCCAACCAAAUCAAUCUGCUCCACCAUUCCUUUAUCAUCCUUAUCAAGGAAGCUUCUCUCUGUUCUUUGGUUGUCUACUUGGAGAGAGUGCAGGCAGCAGCAGGGUGACAGUAAGAGCAUCCACAAUGCUAUUACACUUUGUGGAGUGUAAUCCACAUGCCACGUCAGCAUUCCACUUUCUCCUCUUUUAUUACACUUUCACUCACAAUGGAUUACACUCCACAAGGUGUAAUAGCAUGGGUCCACAAUUAAUCAAAUAUUUAUUUUAAUAAUGCAUAACUCAUAUCCCAUAAAUAAAUAAAGUAAUUUUUAAAACUAAUUUUGUUAUUUUUAAAAAAUAAAGUACUAACUUUCGUUAAAUUUUGUACAUUUUGAAUUUUUUUAUUUUCUAAAAAUGAUAUUAUUAAUUUUUAAGUUUGAAUAAUAUAUCUUUUUCUAUGUUUCAAAAAUAAUAUAUUGUUAUUUUUUAAAAAAUAAUUAUGUAGGAAAUUAAACAAAUAUUUGAUACUUCAAAUGCGAAGAUAUCAUAAUAAUCCAUACUUAAUUAAUAAUUCGGAAUGUAAUUAGUUGAACUCCAUAACAUAAUAUUACAUAAGUUAAAUCAAAUAAAAUACAAAUAAUAACAAAAUGAAAGGAAAUUUGGGUGCCGUUGGAAAGGAAAUAUUGGGUGCCGUUGGAAAUGCUGAAAUUGUACCGUUGCCUAAGCCCACAUUCUGAGAAUUACACGCAUCAUACAUGUGAUGCGUGUAAUCUCCGUGACACGGCUCCAAUGGAGUGGUGUAACGGGGGUGUAUUACACCCCCCAUUGUGGAUUACACUCCAUUGCUAGUCACUUUUUUAAGGCUUUGAAGAAGUCAUCAUUUCAGUGGUAAAAUUUAAGACGACAAAGAUAUCAUGAACAAUUGAACAUGCUAGAGAGAAAUUGUUCCCUAAUCUUUAUCUUUGUCUGGGGUGGUCUUUCCAUCCACCUUAGUUACGGAUAUAUUGGUUAAAUAAAUAUUUCACUUGUUUUUCAUCAUUGUUUAUUAUUAUUAUUAUUAUUAUUAUUAUUUACCCUCCCUCCCCAUGUCUUCUUACUCUCAAGUGCUUGACCUAAGAUUUGAUCUAAACCUAGUACCAGAGAGAACUCGUCAUUGUUAAUUAAUCAUAUCAAUGAAUAACUUCAAUAAUUUUUAAAAAUGGGUUUUAUAAAUUAGUUAAAAUACAAUCACCACACAUGUUUUAAAAUGCAAUAUGAAAUUAAAUGAAACUGGAAUAUAUAUGAGUAAGUUUUUUAUACACCAUCAGUGUGUAAUUUUUAUUACAUUAACAAAUUUAGAUCAUGCCACAUAAUAUACAUUUAAAUUUGAAAUUCAAAUGGCAUACAUCCAUAAUUGCUAAUAUUAAAAAAUCAUUAUACUAUGAUUACAUAAAAAGCUAAUCCAAUAUAUUAUAUCCUUACCACUAGAUAGGAUUCCCUCGUUUGGCCACUAAACUUUAUAUUUAGGCAAAAUGGUCCUUCAACUAAUUAGAACAUACAUUUUAUGGCCACAAAGUGUAUGUUUUCAUUAAUUGAGUGGCUAACAGUGAAAAUUCUAUUUAGUUGAGUGACAAAAAAUAUACUCUUUUAUUUGUUAAAUGACCAUUUUGGCUAAACAAAAAGUUUAGUACAAGUUUUUGCCAUUUGCUCUCAAUUUAAUCUUAUAGCAGGUAUUACUUAAUAUGGUGCCCAGAUCUUGAUUGCCGUUUGAUUCUGUAGCAUUAAUCUUAUGCUACAUGGUCGAUUGUCUUAUGGCUACAGAAGUGACUAGAUACAGCCUUCUUCACUUGGAAAUAGACAUUUACUACCGCAUGAAUGGCAAGUAAUGACAUUCAUGUGUAUGCUUCAAGUGUAUGCUUAAUGGCAAAGUAAUGAGAAGAAAAUACUAAAGAAACCUUUUCAAACUGAGAUUCUUCAUAUACUUGUUUGAACUGAUCGGAGUCACUCUAUCAUUCACUCCAUCUUCCAUUUUAGAGCAUCUGACCAUUUUACACAUUAGAAUUGCAGCUAUAAGAAUGAUAAGAAAUGACACGAAACAUAAGAAAGAAACCGCCUGAACUGAGACAGUUAUACACUUGGACUAAUCGGAGUCACUGUAGAAUUCACUCCAUCUUCCAUUUUACAGCAAUUGACCAUUUUACACAUUAGAACUGCAGCUAAAAGAAUAAUAAGAAUACAGUACAGAUUUAACCCCUAUAUAUGCCUGACGGUUCUGCGUUUUGUACAAUCCAGGGAUGCUCAAGCAACUUGUGUAGUGGAAGCCUCUGUGAAGAAUCCUUGACAAGCAUCUGUUCAUACAAAUAAGAAAACAUCAAAUCAGGUAAAACCCUCAACAUCUUUUUCGUUGAAGAGUUGGGGUAUUCUAGACAACUAGACCUGGCUAAUUAGGUCCUUGGCUGAUGCUGAUACAACAGGUUUUGGAGGGAACUUCAAGUCGACUUGGACUAUCCUGUACAUGUUAGAAAUUUAAGAAAGCAUCAGCAAUUGAGUCAAACCUCAAGAGCUCCCUCAAUAAUUUACAUCUAUUGCAGGAUAUUUGUGAAACAUGUAAGUAAAGCUGAUAUCAGCAUCAAUGACAUUGCUAUCAAAAUUAUAGUGUCUUUCUCAGUUUCUUAAAGAAUAUAAAGACAACAACCUCCUAAAAGAUUAACAUCAAAUAUCCUUUUUUGAAGAUCAAUUUACCUUCUAUAAGUAUCAGAAUGUUCCUUUGCCUCAAAAGGAGGAACCCCAUACAGAAACUCAUAGCAUAGGACACCAAGGCUCCAGAUAUCCACAUUUGCGUCAUGCUCCACACUUUCCACUGUAUAAUUAUGGAUGCAAUACAGUCAAUUUUUUAAUUAAAAGUCAAAACAACUAAAACCAUGCUGGAUAAUCUAAUCCAUUACGAGGUAUUCUUCUCUAGAAGCAUUUCAGACUAUCCACUUUCCUAUCUUAUCAUACAACCCAGUUAGGUAACCAAAAUGUUAACAAGGAUCUGUAAAAUAUCAGUGUGUAAAAGAUCAGCAACGUGCAAGAGUCCAGUACAAUUACAACAGCGGUGAAAAUGAAAUUGAUAUACCUGUCAGAGGUGAUAAAGAAUGUAGAAUUAUUUAAUCAUUACAUGGAGGUAUACUAGGUGUUCAGAGUAUUUAAUCCAAUAAUAGUUAAGGAACUCAAAAGUGUUGACAAGGAUCUAUAGAAUAUGAAUGUCUAAAGUAUCAGCAACACAACAUUAUCAUACAGUUAUAUCCAUGAUGAAAUUGAAACUGACAUACCCAUCUCAGGUGGUAGAUAAUCUAAAGUGCCACACAUGGUACGCCGGCGAUUGAACGUGUGCACUGACCAACCAAAAUCUGCUAUCUUGAGUUCACCCUGGCAGAUUCAGAUGAUAAUUGUAUAAACAGAGAUUCCACCAAUUCAUCACCAGAUGGAAGACUAAUAGGACAAGGUUUGAGUAUUCACCUGUGCGCCAACCAGAAGGUUCUCUGGUUUAAUAUCUCGAUGAAUUACAUGCUUUCCAUGACAAUAGAUGAGGGCCCGAGCAAGCGAUGCAACAUACUGGUUCAUUUUCCACAAGAAACCAAAGUAUUUAUUCAGUACAAGAUUUAAAACAGAACAGAAUAAAACUUAAAAAAUGGACUGUAAAACUCAAUUUGAUUGGAAACCAAAACAAAGGAGAAAAAGGUCUAAGAUGAAUUUCAAACUUGAAAAUCCCUGCUGAUAAUAGAAACAUAAAAGACGGACUCACAGUAGCUGCCCGCCUUUCACUGAAAUAUUUACAUUUCUGCAACUCCUUGUAGAGCUCACCCUUAGCAGCAUACUCCAGAAUCAAAUAAACUCGUUUCUGCAAUAGUUCUUAAACAAAUUAACCUUCUGUUCAAUUUCCACCUGAAACAAAAUGUUCUCAAGAGUGAAUUGUACCUGAUCAUAGAAGUAGCCAUAUAGUCUUAGAAUAUUGGGAUGCCGAAGGUGACUCUGUAUUUCAACUUCACGGCGGAGCUGGUGUUCAACUUGAGAUUGUUUCAGCUGGCUUUUGAAUAGUACCUUCAGUGCCACAAUAUGAUUGCUCUGUUUGAAUUCCAGGAAAAAAGAAAAAGAAAAAGAGGGUUAUGAUAUUAAACUGUAAUGGAUUCUAGAUACUCAAACGAACACACCCAGAAGCCAUUUGUUUUCCUCUUUUCCCCUUGUCAUCAAUAAAAUAUACGAAUGACAGCAGGACAAAACAUAAUUAUGGUGCAAAAACAGAAGCACAGCUAAUCCGAUACUGACUCAGACAUGUAACAACUUAUUAAAGGUUAAAGCAUCUGAAAUGCAACUUUAUGCGUUCUCUAAUAAAGAUCAGUAAGUUACCCAUGUUUAAAUAAAACCGAAAGCAUCAGCAACUCACCCUCUUUUCCCUAGCAAGAUAUACAUGACCAAACUUUCCUCUGCCUAGAGGCUUCCCAAUGUCGAAGUCAUUCAAAGUCCACCUCUUUUUCUCCACUGCUGUCGAUCCCUCUGAAGAACCCUACCAAAAAAAAAACAAAAAACAAAAAACUUCAAAAACUAACCAGCGAAAAGGACAUUGAAACCCCCAAAAGAAUCCAAUUUGGUAAACACAUUCUCUUUGCCUUGAACGUCAUCGUAAUGUUCUAAUUUCAAGUCGAUCGCCAAUGAACCCUAAUUUCCACAGAGCUACAGUAGUUUAAAUUCCCCAAAAAAAAAAAGAGAAAUCAAGAUCCAUUUUUUUUAUUCGACGGACCUUGCAUUUUCAUCAAAUACAUACACGAACAGGAAUUAAAGAACACCUAGAAAUCCACAUGAAAAUAAUAGGAGACUGGAACUACAAAAAUGUUUACGAAAAAUGGAAAAAAUAAAAAGAGAGAGAGAGAAAUUUGCUUCCGAAGCUGUUUGAACUAAACCUAGGUUUAGGCGAUACAAUCAAUAAACCUUUGUUCAUACCAUAACCAAAGCACCAAAUUAGUCCAAGAAUAUCCUACAACCAAAUCCCUAACUUCAUGAGCCCUUAUAAAAGCAAAAAAUAACACAUUCACAAAUCUCGUGCAAAAAUUCCCAAAUGCGGAUUCAGAUUUCCAAGAAGGAACCAAAAAAAAAAUUUGCUGUUUACUGAUUCUCAAUUCUUUUUAGACAAAAAGAAAAAAUUUUUACCUUGUGCUCUUGCUGAGCCUCAGUGGCGAUCGCCAUAUGAGAGAGAGGAAGCGAAAAGAAUGGAAAAAAUUGCAGAGAUUGGAAAGAAAAGAGAGAGAAAGAAAGGGGCGGAGGCGGACGAAUUCAGGAGAAAUCAAUUGUGGAUGAAUUUUAUUUUUGAAUCUGGAGAGAUCUCCAACGGUCAUAUCUACGUUGAUAGCACGUGGCUAAUGACUAUCCCCUUUUUUUUUCUAAUUUCUUUUUGUUUUUCUUGUUUUCAGCUUUGAGUUUUAGAUUUUGUUUUUAUUAGGGAAGGAGCCGGGGAGCGUCUCGGUUCAUUAUUGACUUUGGCAGUUUGCGGGUCUCAACUCCCAACGCAUUUUAUUUGCUCUAAUUUCAUUUGUUUCUUUUUUUCCCCUUUUUCUAAUGAAUUGAUUUUCUUAAGGCCAUACUAAUGAUAAAAUGAAUUCAAAUAAUAAUUAGUUUCUUUAAAUUGGUCAGUUUGUCCAAAAUAGCUUUUCGUUUCAUCAUUGAAUAUAUUUUAUAAUUAUUUCUUUAUAUUUUCAAUCUUUUUUUUUAAUUUCAAAUACAUUAAACAAAAAAAGUCUUACAGUAUAAUUCUAUUUUUUUUUUCUAAAUAAUCUUCUAUUCGAAUAAAUCCAUGUUCUCUCUUGAUUUCCUUGACAAAAAAAUGGUGUGACUUUUUGGGCUGCCAUAUCUUAUCUUUUUGGUGUCAUUUGUUUCUUCUAAUGUAAAGAUUUUAAUGGUGCAAAAAAUAUAAUAAGACUAAAGAUUAAUGUGGCAAAGCUUCAACACUUGAGAGUUGAGAAGACAGUAGUGUAUAUCUAUUAGUUUUUUUUUUUUUUUUGGCACUCAUACACUCCUCAAAAGCAUAGGAAUAAGACUAGAUAUCAAUUUGGCAAAACUUCAACACUUGAGAAGACGCUGUAUUCAUUUUCCCGUUGAGGAUUUAGACAUUGAGAAAAUUGCAUUUUGGUAUCAAAUAUUGAGGGUAUUAUUUUUAAGGGAAAAUCGUUCAAAACAUCCCUCACAUUUUCCAAAAUAACUUUUUUCGUCACUCAUUUUUAAAAAUAUAAUUUUACGUCCCUUACAUAUUCACAUUGGUCAAAUUUGGUUCCUACUUAGGUUUCCGACUAAUUUUUUGUCGGAAUUUACCACGUGCCUUGCACGUGAUCAUAUUUUAAGGGCAAAAUUGUCAAAUCAAAUUUUAUAUAAUUCGAUUUAUAAUCCCUCACAUUUCAUAAAACACAUUUUUUCGUCCCUUACAUUUCACAAAAUAAACUUUUUUCAUCAUUCACAUUUUUUAAAAUGAAUUUUUUCAUCUUUUAUUGAUCAUGUGUGUGAAUAAUUUUUUUUAAAUUUAUGUAUAUAUCUAUUUGAUUUCACCUAAAUAGUACGAAUAGCAUGUGAAAUCAAAUAGAGAUAUAUUACAUACUAUUCGUACUGCUUAAGUGAAAUCAAAUAAAUAUAUAUAUGGGUUUAAAAAAAUUAUUAGUUUUUCACUUAUAUUCAUUUUCUUUUACUCGAAAUUUGAAAAUAAAGAAGACAUUUAAUCCUAAAUAUUAUCGAGUGUUUAUAUCGAAUUAAAUUUGGACAGAAAAAAUAAACAAAAGAAAAGUAUGAACAAAAAGAAAUAAGUGAUUGGCAUUUUCAAAUUUUAAGACAAUCAUAAGGCAAGUAAUUCAACUGUUGGUCUUAAAAGUGUCGAGUAGAAAUUUCAUAUUUAAACUGAAAUUUGUUAGUACAAUUAUAGAAUUCGAGUUAGGACCCAUUAAUUAGAUGACCUUAUUAUACAAUUCAAUAAAUAAAUUAUUACCAAAAGAGAAAUAUCACAAAUAUUAAAUAGGUUCAAAUGAUGAAAUCAUAUAAAUAUAGAUAUCGGUUUCAAACAAAAUUAUUAGUUUUAAACCCAUAUAUAUAUCUAUUGAAUAGCAUGUGUAUAACUAUGAUUAGCAUGUUUAGAUGAAAUCCAAUAGAGAUAAAUUACAUGUUAUUCAUAUUGUUCAGGUAAAAUCAAAUCGACAUAUACGGGGGUUUAUAGAAAAAAAGCUAUUCAUACACAUGAUCAAUGAGGGAUGAAAAAAUUCAUUUUGAAAAAUGUGAGGGAUGGAAAAUUCAUUUUUUGAAAUGUGAGGAACGAAACAAUUCAUUUUGUAAAAUGUUAGGGACGAAAAAAUUCAUUUUGUGAAAUAUGAGGGACUAUGAAUCAAAUUACGUAAAAAUUUAAUUUGACAAUUUUGCCCUACAUGCAAGUCACGUGGUGGAUUCCAGCAAAAAACAAGUCAGAAACCUAGGUAGAGACCAAAUUUGAUCAAUGUGAAUUUGUAAGGAACGUAAAAUUAUACUUUUAAAAGUGAGGGAUGAAAAAAGUCAUCUUGUAAAAUGUGAUGAACGUUUAGAACGAUUUUCCCUAUUUUUAAAGUUUGGACAAAAGCAAAUAUAAGUUUUCCGUAUUUCAAUUUCUAAAUACAUUUAAUCCAAUUGACUGGUUUUGACAAAUUAUUACUGGAAUUCGAUCAGUAGCAAGUACCAAUGGCUAAAUUUUGAAAAAAAUUAGAAAAAAGAAAAAAAAAUUGUUGGCCAUAAUUUGUAAUCAAAGGACACUAAUUAGUUGCAAGCUGAGUAAUUAGUGUUUACUCUUUAGCGACAUGACUUCUGUGCAUGUGCAAAAUUAGUGUCAUUUAAUUACAGAUUAUGGGUUACAAACAUUUUUUCCUUUCUUUUCUAUUUUUUUUUCAUAAUUUAACCAUUGACAUGUGCUAUUUAUGUGACCGAAUUUUAGUAAAAAUUUACCAAAAUCAAUUAAUUAGACUAAAUAUGCUUAAAAAUUGAAACAUUUAGAACUAGAUUUGCUUUUGUUCAAAUUUUAAGGACUAAAAUCAACUGUACCUCAAACAUUUGGUAUCAAAACUACAAUUUUCUUUGUAGACAUCAAUAGGAUACCCUCCAUGCAUUGUUUUGAAACCCGGGUUGGACUGAUUUGACUGCAUAUUAAUCAUGUUCGCGGUUUGAUUCAUAUUUUGGGUUAAUUGGAUUUAAGAUCCGGUGAAAACCGUGCGAAUCGAAAUGAACCAUUGAACUAGUAACAGUUUAUUUUUUUCUGUUAAACUGAAAAACAAAGAAAAAAAUUCUCUUUAAUCCUAUAGACUAAUUACAAAGUGCCUCAAUCACUCACAUUCUUUUUACCUUUUGUCUCGUAUCAAGUAUUCAUUUCUCUAUUUUCUAGUUUCUUUAGUACCAGGUUUCAAAGAAGAAAGAGAUGGGUACUUUCCACCUCCCUGCGAUUCAGUAGCAGACCGUGUAAUAGAAGCAAAUACAAUCAGAAUCUUAAAGUUCACAACAAAUGUAACAUUUAAAACAAAUAAAAAAACUUCACUGGGUAAUUUUCAAAAUAUGGUCUAAAUAGGAAACACAUUUGAAAGGUUAUAUGGACUAAUUUGCAACAUUGAGAACAAGAAUACAAUCCAGCAAGAAAAAAUGAGCAAGUUCUAAAACCAAAAAACAUGUACUGUAGAUGCCGACAAUGAAACUGAAGUACUUUUAGCUUUACAAUAGUUUAAAUAUAAAAAAUCACUGUUAUUCAAGCAAAACAUACAUUUUACUCAAACUCUGUUAAUGAAAAUUUCUGUAAAUAUAACUAUCAGGUUAAUGCAUAAUUCUUACCCAAGAUCAACACACAAAACUAACUCCAAUGCUGCUGCAAGUAAAAUACCUAAUUCCUAAUGGGAGAAAAGUCCUAGGAUGUACACAAUGAACCAAACAAACUAUGACUAGAAAAACAGGUUGAGUUCAGCAAUAUGUUUAAGCAUCCUGUGCAGCAGGAAAAUCUGACAAGACCCCUUUCUUCAUUCAGCUAUAUGGAGACUACAGAUUUCCUGGAAGGAACACUUAAUGCUUGGGUAACCAUCUCCCAAAUUUACAAAGUAUAUCCAUUAAAGUAUUAAUUGUCUCAUGUGAUGUUUCUAACAGUACACACAAUUGCUUAGAUUAGUCUCCAAAGUGAGACAAUCACAAUUUGAACUCAAUUAAAUACCAAGAAGCUAAGAGCCAAGAAAACCAGUUAUGCCCACAAGUCAGAAUUCAAAUACUGUCAUCAUUUUUUGACAGCAUGCUUCCAAUUUGGUUAGACAAAAUUUGAAAUUUUUAACGCAGUAUGACCUUCUGGUUCCUGUUGGCUCAUUUUUUAAAUAAAAAUGAAAGAGUUUCCCAAAGUGCUACAACAUCAACAUUUGGACCAAAGACAGUCCACUUUAGAGAGAUGAGCUGACCUAAAAUGCCACCACCAGCAUUUGCACUAGUUAGGCUUUCAUUUCCACUCCCACUUCCCAGCUCACAAGGUAAAUUAGUAUCCCCAUAUGACAUACCCCCUCAAUGCAGCUAUUAUUGAAGCAUCCCAUUCCACCUCUACCACCAUGCCCACCACCACUGCCAAUACCACUAUCUGAAAAUGUCCCUUGUCCCACACCUCCAAUGCAACCUGAGGAACAAAAAACAUCACUGGUAAGGCCCUGGAACAAUAAUAAACCACAUGUAUGCCAAAUUCGCAAGGUUUUGAAAACAGAUUCAUUUUCAUGCUAAAUACAGAUGACGAAGGGCCACGCCAAUCACACUCAAAUGUUAAAUAAUGGCCACCUGAUGGCAAGGUAGGAGAUACACUUUGAAUAUGGUAAUUAAAAAGGAACUCAGAUGCAAUUAUACCCAUCCCAGUUGUGCUUAUUGUUCCAGAAGAAGGAACACUAAUAGUUCUGGCUCUAUGGAAAUGAACAACAGAUCCUAUCACGAGGCCUUCAACAAGGAUAUCUUCAACUCGGCAAAUCUGCAGAGACAAACCAACUUGAGACCUCACGGAAGUGAAAAGAACUAUAUCCCAAUAGAAUGCAGAACAAGAAAAACUCCACCUGAAGAGUGAAAGACAGUGAAGAGUUCACAUUGCAAUCUUCGGGUGGAUGGAGGAGUUCAACUGGACAAUCAUUCUGAUCACAAUGCAACUUUGGUGUCCUAUAAAAGAACAACACAAAUAUAGAUUAAAAUAGUUGCAUAUUUGAGAUAUUAUGCAACAAUUAUUCAACUUACACAGCUUCAGUUGAGGCAUUCUCUAAAGGACCACGUAAAACAGAUCCAGGACCAACCUGUAUCCAGAAACAGAAAAGUCAAAGGAGUCAACUGAUAUUGUAUAAAGUAUUUUGUACACACUUCUGGAAAAAACUACAAUGCAACUUUAGAGUUAAGCACAGAUAUUAGCAGUAUAUAAUAGUUUAACCAAAAAAAAGAGCAAUGCAUCCUUCAACUUACUUUGAUUGUGCAUAAUUAUGCAAGAGUAGAAACCUUUUUGUAGUCAAACACGUAUUUAAGCGAGAGAGCAUAGUCACAUAGAUAGAUGUUUGCAUGCAUGUGUUUAUACACAAACGCAUGAGAGAGAGAGAGAGAGAAAACUAACAAAAUAGCAUACAAUUCCAACUUUGACUAAACCAGGGAAAAGAGUAGAAUAGCAACCUGAAAGGCUUAAAACCAAACAAAUGAGCCACGCAGUAUUUGGAUCUAACCAAACAUCUUGUUCUCACCAUAGGCACUACUUUUUUUUUAAAUAACUUUACGUAAAACCAUCCAACAUAUUCAAUCUCAUGGAUGCUGAAGGUAAUGAAUGAAUAGAAAUAUCAUGCCACAAAUUGCUUACAUGUAUACUAUAAAACAACGACAAAACCAGGCGUUCUGCUUCAAUGCAAUCUCCUGGUCCAGACAAAUUUAACAAACCUUGCCCGUGCACCCCUAGAUUAGCAUUGGAGUGAAUAAUAGAUGACUCCUGUUAUGGAAGCCAGGAAGAGGGAAAUUAAGAAAAGGUCAAACAAGUCAUGAGGAUCCAAAGCAAGACGGCAUACCAGUAAACUGAAGUAGAAUAACUAGAGCACCUUAAGAACAAUAAGAUUACUAGCUUCAAGCAUUGAGGUUUCAACAUUUUCAUCUCCUUCACCAUCAAUUAGCAUUCUCGAAUUCCACAUCAGAAACAUUUUAACAGACAUACGAGAGCCCCAAAAACCUGAAAGGCCAAAAAAAGGCGAUCAUACAAGGCUACCUACCAAAUUAAAUAAAAGUAUUCUAGCGAGAUCAAAUUGCAAAAAGAAUAUGGCCAUGUCAACCUACAAGAGGCCACUGCAAACAAUGCAUAAAAACUUCUGUAUUCAAGAAUAAUGAAAAAAACCAAAUUGUUAAAACAAAAAACCCAUGUUAAGAGCACAUCUAGAAUGAAUUGUACUACUCCAUCCACAUUUAUUUUGUCAUGGUUAUGAUUUUUUUCUGUUGCAUAGUCACUCUGUAAUGAUCUGAAACACAAGUAAAUAACCAUUUACCUAUAUAGACUUCCUUCAAGAUUUCUGCAGUGAAGAUCAUGAGAAAUAAACAAACACAUACUUGAGGCUUAAUUAUGAAAAAUCACUUUUCCAACUAUUUUAUCUUCAUCAAACAUAAAUUUUCCUUACUCUGUACCCAAUCAUCACCGUGACCAUAAAAUGGGUCAGCCAGUGCUUCAUCCAUCCAACUUGGAUGUCUACUUAGAGUUUUAGGACUGUCCUUGACUUAGUUUGCACAACUAAAGAUGGGGACUACCUAAAGCUUCCUCAAGAGGGCCUAUAUGAAAUAUCACAACUCCACAUAGAACUGGUAGACUGCAGCAUGUCCUGCAAUAGAGCUUGAAACGAAAAACAUGGACAAGAAUUCAUGCUGCAUUAAGUGCACAGAAUUUUAUAACUGCAUGCACCCGCUAAGUCUACAAGAACUUUAAACCAGUAGAAACACGACCACACAGAGAGAAAAAUGAGAAUAUAUGUCUAAAAACAACAGAUAAAGGGAGAAAAGUAGAGGAACAUGCUUCCAAAAAAUUAAUUGCAGGAGAAUCAUUUGAAACACACCAUCUCAUCAUAUCAGUAUGAUACAACAAAGAAAACAUAAAAUGUUGCCAGUAUCCAAUGAAAAAGAAAAAGGUUACCGCUACCUUAAUAACAGAAUCACUCAUUAACAGUUCUUCUGCCAAUAUUUCAAAUUCUGACAUAGAAUAAUGUGCCAAUCCAAAGCUCAGUUCUCCACCAGACAAGAGGCUAAUUUGCCCUUGGACCUAAGACAUAAGAAUUACAGAUACAUCAAGUACUUGAAUAAUUCAAUGGAAAAAAGCAGAAUAAUGUACUGAAUAUCCACUGACAGUCAAUGCAUUAGCUUCAAUUCCAAAAGCUAAUAAUAACUGAAAAUAAUCAUAUCUGCAGAUAUAGUAAGGCACACAUGGCCAAGGACACAAAUAGCAGAACAACAUACAAAAUAUCCAAUGAGAGAACCAAUACAUUACAUUAGUUCCAAAGUAUAUAAUAGUUGAAAGUAUUCAGAUCUGCUAACACAGAAGGCACAUCACAAACAGAACAAGGCACGCAUAGGCAUGGACAUCGCUAGUGCUUGAUUUGACUUUCCACUUUUAUUUGAUGUCAAUUUGUCUCCUUAUUAUCCAAAAGAGUUUUAAGAUAAAUCUGAACAAAUAAAUAGGUUCUGACUAUGUCACUAAGAAAGUAAGAAAGACUAAAUUUAUAGACCUGAACACGACUCCAAAGCAAGGGAACAGAGGCCUUGGCCUGAUUUUGGAUGUAGAUAUUUGUCAAAAAUGGUUGAGGAAAGUCCAAAAGAAGUGUGUCUGUAUCUGUAGAUUUGUUGUAAUUGUCAAUAGUAAGACUGCGCGGAACAGCAUCAUAAAUGCUCCCCGCUGCACCAGCGUUUUCUUGGCAGCCACGACUGCUUCCUCCUGUAAGAACAGAAAUUAACUCAGCAUGCACACUAAAUCCACAUUCCACAUUUAAAGCUGGGUAAAUUUAAGGCAAUAACCAGCAAAUUAUUGUACUCAUUUGAUGUUUUAGAUCAAAACAGGAACAAACUCUCAUCCACUUGUUAUCCUAUUCAAGGCAUAGCCCAGGCUGAUGAUGACAUAUCCAAGCAAGGCCAAUUCUAAGAGACCAGAGAAUGUACAGUAGAUUACAACCAGACCACGGAAGACCAUUGCUUUCAAAAAAGCCCGAAAUAAGCUACCAACAAACAGGUUAGUAGUAUAUGCAACAAAAAUUAUUCCCAAAAAAAGGAGAGAGAGUCUAUGAUAAUCCCUCAAGCUAUGUUACUUGGACUCGGCUACUGACUCCUGCCGACAUGGUUACUCUGGUGCAAAAUGAUGAGUCAGAUAGGGUACAGCAGGGAAAAGUGAAGAGUCUGAGUAACAUAGCCCCCCAGCCUCGUUACCUCAUCAAUUUUAUGACAAAACUUCCCAACAGAUUAAUUUGGCUAUACAAAAGUUCCAAUGAAAUGAACCCCUUCUCUAAUCUCUUUUCACCUCUCACAAAUAUAGACUUGUCAUCUCUGGUAAAUACUAGAUGGCCAUAUGUGUAGAAACCUGUUGCUGUCAACAAAUAGGAUGAAGAAAAAGCCUCCCCAAUUGCUCCCUUUUUAGGGUUUACCACAACGGAUAUAAGCAAAAUAUGGAGCUAUAAACAAAUAUAUCACAGGUUCAACCUUCAAUAAUGCCCUUCAAGCAUUCAAUUUAUCCUGAGCUUCAACUCUAAAUUAUAGUACAGAAAAAGCCAACAGGAUCCAAUUUAGAUAAUUAAGACAGAAAUAAAAGCCCCGCGUUUAGAAAAAAGCAACUAAGGAUAGAAAGAUCUGCAACAUUAUUAUUACAGAGGUGAGUAGCAUAAAAAGGAGACUGAUUAUCUAGCAAUCAAAAAAGUGGACAUCAGAAGAAAAGUCAAAUUGCAGAUAUAGUAUUUUCCAGCACUGAAAGAACUAAUGAAACUUCAAACAAUUAUGGAUAAAGAGCAAUAUCAUGUUUGGCUUACAGCUUGGAAAACUUUUACCACAAGAAAAUCAUAUUAUGAAUCAUACCAUAUGCAAAAAUUCCGGAUCCUCAUGGUGGCUAAAAACAUCAACAGAUACUCUUCCGCCACCUCCACCAGCAAAGCCAUUACCUCCACAUGCACUGAUAUAACCACUCCCAAUCCUAAACUUGCAAAAAUUGUUGUACUUUAGAAUAAAACUACAUUAUCAAUACUCAUGAGUACUAAAGGUGCUAAUAAAUUGAUUAUAACUCACAAAGAUAAGAAUAAUUUCAGAAACCAAUAGCAUAUAUGAGAAAGUAAUUGCAAAAAUUUUGGCUUGUGUCAUGACAGCUAAGCCACAAUCCUAUUAUUCCUAUUCAAUAAGUUGGACCCAAAAAAAAAAAAAAAAAGCAUCAGAGAACCAAUAAAAGAUUAUUAUUCAAUAGAAUGACAUUCUCCAGCAAAUAGACAAAAUUUUCGAUAAUUAUAUGCACAAAAGAACUUGUAAAAUGGAUAGAUAUGGACUGUGCACAAUUACAUGACAGAAACAGACCAUGUACAAUUCUAGAUUAUUAGUGAACUCAUCCACUCUUGAACAAGAAACAUUGUGCUUGAAACACUGAUCUAGAUCAUAUUAGCAUAUCCCUAGAACCAAAAAUCGUAUGUCAGGAACCAUGAAAUAUAAUGGGUGUUUGGAUUGCAAGACUUUCAAAUAAAAAUCUCAAAUUUUGUUUUGCUUGCAUCAUACACACAAUUUCCAACGACCUUUUUUAUCUCACAUACAUCACAUCACAAAAAUGCUACAGUAAUUAUUUCAAAUAACCUCCUAUCCAAACAAACCCAAUUUAUCACUACUGCAAUGCAACUGUUUAGCAGCCUUAUACAGUAACUAUAACAAGUAUUAGCAUCAACAAAGUCGUUUGAAGAUUAAGUUCUACUAGAAUUAGUAAAAACACAAAUAAAAUUGAAAAAAAUAGAACUAAGAUAAUAGGUAAAACUCAAAUUCUCAUUCGAAUUACACUCUGUUCAAAAAAGCAAUGGGUUUAUAGCAAAUUCUCAUUUCUCCAGGACGGACUCCAAAAAUACAAAGUAUUGCAAAAGACUCCAAACCCACUUCAUGACAGGCUGUCAGCUUGACUGGGGCAUUAGCUUAGUGUAGCUUUUGAAGGGAAGUUCCCCUCCCACAAAGAAAAUCCAGAUGCCUCCCUCUCUCCCCCUCUCAAAUAGUCUUCAGCAUGCAAUAGACCAAACCAAUUGAUACUAAUGCACAUAACAGGAGAGCUCCAUUGAUAUUUAGUAACAUGCAGAAUACAAAUUUCCAGUAUAAAGAAAAAGGACAAUAUAUAGCGAGAACUGAAAUGGAUUUGACAAGUGGCAAUAUAAGUUUUUGCAAUGUUGUCCAGAAAUCAACCAAGAACACCAGUUUCAUGGUUGAACGCUUAUAUCCAGCUAUUUACCAUGCACUCGCAAAGAACCUGCAUUAGAAGAAAUUACACUUUCCUGUGCAUAUUUCACAAUGUUCUCAAUAUCUGUUUUCCACUUUUAUAUGCUAAAAGGUAUUAAACCAUAAGUAACUUCUUUUAUUUUCUACCUUAGUAUUGGGAAUCUCUAUCCCUGAAGUUCAUCUACACGUGUAUGAUUUUUUCCACUUUUCCUUGCUCUAGUUCUUAUUAAUUUGGAGAUAACAUUUGUUAUUCAUUUUUGGGAGGGCAAAAAACCCAUAUGACCACUGCACCAAUCCUAUUCAAGAAAAAACCUUGUAAAACAAUCUCUCUACCAUCAGCAUUGCCCCAACCUAACAAAAUUCCUCAUUGUAAAUUGUAAAAAUCCAAAUCCCAGUGAAAUGCAGUAAAGGGGAACACCACAAAACUGGCCAAAAGCUUAAGCAGUUUAACAGCAGUUAGAUGCUUUCACACCACCUCAAAAACAAGACCCUAAAGUAUGUGUCAGGAUCAGUAAAAUUUCAAGGCUAUUAAUGUCAAGCUUAAGACCUAGCACUAAUCACAAUUGUCAAUUAAAAAAGACGAGACAUAGUUGACCAUUGAUACAUCGUUUUAGGUUGAUUACGACGCUACCAAUUAUGCGAACAACAUAACUUCCAAAUGGAUCUUUCAGCUUGCAAAACAAAGAUAUUUUAUGCAUGGCCUUAUUGUUUACCUACAUAAUACCUGAGCAGUUUAUUAAUGCGAUUUGUUGUUAAGCAAUGUUAUGUAUCCUAAAUGACUCUAGAAGAAUGAGGCUGUAAAUGAAAAUGCUUGGCAUUAAAACGUAUCAGCUCCGGUCCAAGCUUGUAACUGAGUAUUGGGUGCUUCUCAAUGGCUUCUGAUUUUCAGAAGCAAAAUCAGAAGGCAAAAAAACCUGCUAUGCUGCUUCCGAUUUUUCAGAUUUUUUGCCUCAAAAAAGGUGUGAACAGGUAUUGGAAAGCAAUUGAGAACUUUAAAAUAACAGCUUUUCCAGAAUCAAGAGCUAAAAUCAGGUAUUGAAAAUCAUUUUAGAACAAAUCACUGUCCUUUAGACAAGUCCAAUAAUAAAACUCAAAACAACCUCAAAAAAAAAAAUUGAUCUUAAAGUUGACUCCAAAAUGUUAACAAUUAUAAGCCCAUAGCUUUAGAGAGUUUAUAUUACAAAAAACCUUGCGUAGGUAAUCUCUGCUUAACUCUGCGGGUUUACACCUGUAAAGUGAAAAAACACAAAAGACGGAAACCUGACAAUAAUUCAAAGUCUUGCAAAGGAGGGAAAAGGAAUAAGGAAAAUGUACUGUCUGUCUGAAAACUGUAUUUAAGUGCUGGAAGUGAAUGAAUCGCAAGUUUUUACAUUCAUCCUGAGCAAUAUGAUACUUUUCCGAUCAAUUGAUACACUAAGCACCAGUUCUUUUUUUCCCACAAACCAAAAAAAAAAUCACUUAACUUUUUAAACAGAUAAAGCCAUGAAUGAAUUGUGAGUUUGUUAUAUUCAUCCAGUUCAACAUGAUACUUUUCCAAACAAAUAAUACAUAAAGAACCAGUUAUUUUUUUAUAGAAACAAAAGAGAAUACCACUUAAUUUGUUGAACUGUUUAACAGUCUAGCUUUUUGUCACUCGGUAUGUUUAAAAAAUAACUCAGACACACACACAACCUCCUCUCAUGCAGAAUGCCAAAAUAUCCCCUCUCAUACUGCCCCCAACACCCCCCCCAACCUUCUGUCUCUCAAAUACAAGAAAAAUUGUAUUAUGUUUCUGACAGUAUAUAUGACUGUUCAUCAGAACACCUUUGUUCUGAGGUCUAAUUAAAAUAAGUUCAUCAUAUGCUACUUAUUUACAUUUAUUAAUCAAAUAGCUUUCUCCUAUAAUAUUUGAUUACUCAUAUAUUAAUGGACCAACUAUGGCAUUCAAAAAGUAGAAGUCUAUUGAAAAAUAGAAAACUAAAUUAAAAGAAGAAGAAGAAGCAGAAGAAUAGCUAAUCAAGAGAUAAAAUAAACACUAACAAUCUAAAUGAAAAGUAACGAAUAGCUAAUCAAGAAGAUAAAAUAAACACUAACAAUCUAAAUGAAAAGUAACAUUUAAAGAGAAGCUAACUGGACGUCUCAAAGAAAAUUCACAUACAGCAAUCAUUCUUAAGUUAAAUUGAAGUAUUUGCCACAUUGAUUUCUCAACUUAGGCUGCCAUAUUGGUUAACAGAAGGUUAUGGUUUCAUUUUUAUCAGCAACUUGAACUGCCAGCAUUUAAAAUAACUUCCAGAUUCCAAUGUUUCAGCUUUUAACUUUAGGCAAGAAUAUAAGCAAGUUCUCUUAGCAAGCCUAUCAACCACUGCCAACUUGUUGGAUAGAGAUCAGCAUGCCAAGGUGUUUCCAAAAGAGAAAUGCCCCCUAACCACUUAAUGUUCUUCAUUUUACUUAAAAAGCCAAUAAUCUAGCAGAGAAACCAAAUAAGCCAGAAAACAUUAAUGAUUACUACACAGUCAAGCUAAAAUCAGAGUUUCAGGUAGCGAAAAAGUUGCUUUUGCAGGCAAAUGGGAUUUACAUAGGUUGAAAAGAAUUAAAAUUAUGAUGACAACAGCAAAAAUAAUAAAUAAAUGCUUGAGUUUCAAGAAACAACAGCCUUCUACAUUCUCUUCAACCUAUGAGCAAACAAUACCAUAAUCCAAAGCUUAUAAGACACUCCAUGCUAAAACAAACUUAAUCAGCCCCAAAGAACAGGAUAUUAGUUAACAUAUAACACUUUGAAGUUUUCAUUCUUUUAACAAACUCAAGGAAAUUUGAACUUCCAACAAUGAUUUUACUCCGUCAUUCUUUGCAUGAACCACCUCCAAACAAUCCUUUUAAAUUCAAAUUGAGUGAAAUCCCAGUUUUCCUUUGAUUCCUUGUGUUCCUAAUCAACGUAAAGGAUGACAUUAUUUGUAUCAUUUACAGAAAAGGCUCAAAUGAUGACUCUAAUGAUAACAAAAGGAGUUCGGCUCACCAGUAAAAUUUAAAAACAAAAGAAGCCAAAGGAGAAAUAUGUAAACCUAAAUCACCAGAAAACAAUGAUCCGAAGACAAAAUCCCUAAAUGAGGGUCAAGAAAAGUGCAAUAAAACAAAAUUAUAUACAAUUUUCUGUCUUCAAUUCUCAUCAGAUUCUAAGUCAAAUUCAACAAUUCCACUAAGUGCAGCAAGGAGAAACCACUUAUAUGGAUUUCCAAGUGUACUCCAAUAUUAACAACAUUCUGAAUACAAAGUAUGAAUGUGGAUGCAACUACCAAUUGAUAUACAUAAUAAAACCAUAAAACGUGGUAAAUCUACUCACAGAGUCUACACAUAUUAAGAAAACGAAAACAAGUUUUUUAAAGGCCAAACGCAAGUCUACAUGCUAAGUAUUCUCUGUCUUUUCAACUCUACAAUCUAAAGUAGACGUUUCUACAAAAUCCAAUUAAAAAGGCAAAGAGGAGAAUAGUUACAUCUUAAAGGCCUUGAUGUAGAUGCUACCACCGGACCCGCCUCCUCCUUUGCUUCCUCCAUCACCACCGUCAGCGAGCAAGCUCCCAUUAACUUCCAAAAGCUUAAGCACUUUCAUUUGAAUUAUCCCACCUCCACCCCCACCAUAAUCCACCUCCCUGUUUGUUGUCCCACCUUUGCUCCCAUAGCUACAAGGAUCCUGCAAAUAUGACCACCCAUAUGCAUCCCCACCCCAUACAUCAUCUGGAAGCUUCUUCUGGUCCAACAAACAAGCCGCACCUCGUCCCCAUAACCCCCACCAGCACCAUCCACCCCUGGGGUGUCCCGCUCGUCUGGGGAGGAGGAUCACCGGCUAAACCAGUAGUAUUCACAACUGACCCAUUCGAAAAAGUAGCAUUAUCUGCCGUCAAAUCAAAAGUUCCAGCAAAAAUAGUCGAAUUCUGACCCAAAGUAAAGUUCCCAGAGACAUUUAUCACUAGCUCGCAACCCGGAAACAUGCAAUUAACCGUAAUAUUGGGAAGAAUAUUAAAAUUCCCCUUCCCUUGUAUAUACACGUUAUCACUGAUAUUCAAAUUAGAAACUAUAUUGCAAGUAGUAUCUAACGAACCAACUCCUCCGAGAUCAGCUUCGCAAGUCACCGACGGCGGAUGAGGAGGCGGUGGCGGUGGCGCCGGAGGUGAGUAAUCCCGGUGAAACAAGAAUGAAUCGAAGUCGCCGGAGUCGUCAUCUAAGUCAAAAUCGGCGUCUCCGCCACCGUCCUGGACUAAAGUACCAUAACCGCAGCUAGGAAUCGGAAGCAAGCCUAUUAUUAGUAUCACCACUAAGAGUAAAGUGAAAGAAAGUACAGACAUGUCAAAAGGUGAAGAAGACGCCAUUGACUGAUGAAGAUGGGAAUAUUCAUCAGAAAUGAUGGUUGGGAGAGGGAGAAAUGGAUUGCAUCGGUGGAAUUUUUUGCUCGAAAACAAAACCCACCAGAAAAGUUUAUUAGUUUUUCGUUCCAAAUGCGGUUUAACUGUUUGAUAUAUGCCGGUGCGGAUGGAAAAAAGUGGCGCUUUGGGAACGGAGAAUGCCCUAGAAAAAGGGGUUUCUGGUGAGGAGCCAAAGACAACUACUCCCUAGCGGAUUCUGCAGGGCGAAGAAAAGAGGGAGGCAGUUUUUGGGGAAAAUUGAACAUGAGGAAAGCAAAAGAGAGGGCAAUAAAGGUAAAGGGUUAAGGGGGCGACUGAUUACUGAUUAGAUAGGGGACUAGAGAAAUUGGGGAGUUGAAUAUUGGGUUAGUGGUUUAAUGAGAGGAGGGUGAAGGGGUUAAAGAUUAGACUGAGAGAUUUUGAGGUAGAAAGCAUGACUGAUCACAACAAUCACAUCCGUUAAAAACUUGGUGUUGAAUUUUAUAAAUAAUAAAUUGUGAUGACGUUUUCUUUUUUUUGGGAUAAUUUCAGAAACUUGCCUUGAACUAUUCAUAGUAUCAGUUGGCUCCUUUGAAGUUUUUAAAAUCUCACCCACCUCUCUCAAAAUAUUUAGGCCUCGAAAAAUUCACACGUAUGAAGAGAUUAUUUAUUAAAAUAUAUUUCCUAAAAAAAAUUUCUUAACUCCCGUAUAAUUAUCUAUAAAAUUUUUCAAGGGCUCCAUCACUCACUAUAAUCCUUCUAAGUGGUUGAUUUUGACUAAAUUUAAUUUACCACGUUCUUUGUUGUCCCACCAUGAUCUCGAUAUAGAGAAAUAUGGACCAUUAUUAGAUAUCAAUUUAUUUUUCUCUAAUCUACAUAUUUUUGUUUAAAAUUUUAUUUUAUUUUUUGGUUAAGCAAUUAUUAAGAGCUAGGGUAAUGUUGUCACUUUUUGACCUGUGAUGGGAAUAUUUUAGUCUUAUAAAACUGAUAGGCGAGAUAAGUGAAAUUUUAAAAUUUUGAAUAGGAGAACUCAGUGAAAUUAUGCUCCUCAUGGGCAACUCGGUUGGUCUCAGCAAACCUCCUUAGAAGCUGGUGUCCAAUGCCCACAAGGAUUCAAGUCCUAUGGUUAUCGUGUUCGGAAGGAUGGGGCCUCUCCUCCCGGAUGGGAGUGGGAUUAGUUGGGCCCCGUAAGAAUUGGUCCGGACACCCAUUCCGUCAAAAAAAAAAAAAAACUGAGUGAUAUUAUGAAAAAUCUCGGGACAAUUUUUUGAAAUUUUGCCUUUCUUUUUUCAUCUUUGUCUCUCUUUCCCUUUCCUAUUUUUCUUGGCUUUCUGUGGAUUCUCUUUCUUUUUUUUUUUUUAAGUUUCUUUUUUGCGUUGGAGGAAUCUGACAGGAAGGUUUGACAAUUUUUAUCAAAACGAGAAAAAGAAAAAAGCAAGAAUGUUUGAAUUGAGAUUCUUCCUCUUAUUUACAUACAUCUUAUGGUAUCUUCUUUAUAUCUUAAUCAAGGAAUAGAGAGAUUCUUUUCUUUUCUGUUCUUUUUUGUCUAAAAUAGUGCAGCGUGAUAAGUGAUAGGUUGUUUCCUUGCACAAAUGUCUCAUGUUUGUGAUUGGGGCUGAUUCGUAAUUUAAUGAGGAGGAAGAUUAGAUUGACUCAUUGAUAUUGAGGUUGAGUGCAUGGCUGAUUGAGCCACUUUCAGUCAAAGUUUGCAAUUGUACUAAUUACAAAUUGUGAUGGCGCCCUUGUUCUAUACUUUUGUCUCUUUGUUUUGUCGGGGGAAUUUGAAUUAUGAUUUGACAUUUUUUAGAGAGAAAAAAGAGUUAAAAAAAAAUAUGAAGGAAUGACUGAGAAUGAGAGGAUUUUCAAGGGAUAUAUGCAUCCUUUUGUCUUUCUUUUUUGUCUACAAAGUAUGAUAAAGAUAAAUUACUUCUUUAUUUAUUGAUGGGAUGACUGAUGAGAUGUUUUAACUCUUUUUCUAUUUUCUUGUUUUCUUUUCUUCUGAUCAUAAGAAAUUUUCGGUAUUUUGUUAGUUCUUAAGUUCCUAAAGUAAGGAAACGGUCAAAAUAUAACGAACAAGGAACUCAUUGAUGCAAGCCUUUCUUAUAAUUAUUAACUUAAUUUUAAGUCACGAUGUGGCCUUGUUUGGAAUGCAUUUUUCUGGAUUUUUUUGUAGAAAAAUUACAGUAACGAUUUGAUAUAUGUGAGGUGAAAAGGCGAUUGGAAAAUAUGUUUACAAAAAAUAUAGCAAUUUUGCUGUCCAAACAAGGUUGUCUAAAAUAUUAAUUAACAACCAUUUUUCAAAAUUGAAAUUCUAUGUAUAAAUGCAGAAUCCCUCAAGAGGAAAAUGUUGAGAAAGUAAAAUUAUCAAAGGAUAUCACAAAAUGAUCUGGCUUGAUCUUGUUGACAAUGCCACCCACUAUGUCAGAUCGCGAUAUAAAGAAGAUGAUAGGCCUUCGCAAAAAGGGUUGAUAUGACUCAAUUUACAGGUACUCGCCUCGACAUAUACCAUAUGUAGUUAAUUUUCUAAUAUCAUAGAUAUCUAUACUUACGAUAUAUAAAGCAGGAAACUUGACCUAAGGUUUGGAUAGCAAAUUUUUUCAAAAAAACUUUUCAGUUGCAUUACAAACACAUUUUUCAAUUUAUUUUUUUAUCUCACAUACAUCAUAUCACAAAAAAUGCUAUAAUAAUUAUUCCAAAUAAUUAUUUGGAAUAAUGCUCUAUCCAAACAAAGCCUCGAGUUUUGAUGUAAAUGUUUUUUUGUCACUUUUUGAACUUUCAUUUUUGGCCUCGUACGAUCUAAAUUUUAUCAUGAUCACAACUUAUUUCAUUAUAAGUACCAAAGCAUAGCUUUUCAAACAAACUUAUUUUCAUUAUAACUACUCAUAAACACACAACAUAAUUAUACUCUUAAAAGAAAAAAUCUUAAAAGAGCAAAAUCAUGUUCAUUAAUUAAAAAAAUAUAUAUAUGUAAAAUAAGUUCAUACAAAAAAUAAUUUAUUUCUAAAUUGCACAUACAUUGGGUGUCUCCUGUAUGCUAGUGAUAAAAAUUGCAAAUGAAUCGAAACAAAUCAAGUUUUUGGUCUAAUCGAGUUAAGCCUCGACUCAAUUUUACCAAAUUUGAGCUCAUCGAUCUCUCAAUGUAAAACUCGAGUUCGAAUUUGACAGUAAAUUUGAGCCAAGCCAAGUUGGAACUCGAGCCCACUCAUGUUUUAAAAAAUAAUAAUUAUUAUUAUUUUAUUUUAUUUUUAAAAUAAUAAAUAAAAUAGUAUUUUUUUUCUUAACAAAUAAUAAAACAUUAGAUAUAUAUAUGUAAUUUUAUUAUUAUUAAUAUAUAUAUCUUAAUAUAAUCGAGCGACUCGCGAACUAAUGAACUAAGUUUUUCUGUGCUCGAACUCGACUCCAGUUUGAUGUUGACCAAACUCAAAUUGGAUUUUGAUCAAGCUAACUCACAAGAGGCUCGCAAGUAAUUUGACUCGUUUGCAACCCUACUAAUGACUAUAAUUGUUUUGAAAGACUGUUGGAAGAAAUUUGGGUUAGGUUAUAAAGUGGAAGGGAGUGUAAAUGAAAUAUACUAUAUUCAAAACCACUCAUUUAAUAAAAAAAAAAAAAAGUAUCAUACUAUUAGUUGCAUAUAAACGGUUAAAAACAUUAAACUAAGUGUAGAAUUAUGUGAAAGUAACUAUACCUUAGUUUUGGACCGUCGAAUUUCCUUAAAAUAUUUGUUACGGAUAAGGCCCCGUUUAUAUCUUAUCUUUGAAGUGAAGGAUAAGAGUACAUCAAGAAGUCCUAGUUUAUAUGCUUGGCCCCUACAGUUGGCUUUGCGGGUUUAGUUUUCAAAAACAUGUGUGUUGACUAACCUAAAUCACUUGUUAGCAUUGAAUAGGAGUUCAAAAAUUCAAAAGCAGAAAUGAAUAACAAUAUAGACUAGUGCACCUAAAGCUUAUUUGGUCCAAAACAAACUCUCUUUCAUGUAUGUGGUCCAAAUUUGAAGAGCAAAUCUCUUAGGCUUUUACACUAACACCAAAUGGCAUUUAGCUCUAACGAGUAAAAACCAAAUCUUCCAGCAAAUAAAGUGCCCAUAUCCCAUUGGCAACCAUUAUUGACUUUGGCAUCCUACAUUUCAUAGGGUAACAAAACGGACAAAAGGUAUGUGACUUUGUACAUAAAAAUUUAUUCCAGUGUAAGGUUGCCAUCACUUUCGACAUUUUUAUGCGUAUGAAAACAAAUUAUCAACAACAUUGAAACCUUCCAAAACAAAACCAGUGACUAGAUAAUUUGAUUAUUUGCCAAAUGAUUCUUUCUAUUUUGUGACUUUGACAAAGUCACAAAACCAAUUGGCUAUGAGUGAAAUGGCCCAACAUCUUUUAUAUAUAUAUAUAUUAUGGUUGGAAAUCCUUAGAAUAUCAAUGUAGGAUAUACAACUAACACGUAAAGCUAUAAACAAGUCGAAUCGAAUCGAGUAUCUCAUGUUUGAACUCUGUUCGUUAAGCCAUUCGAUCAACGUUCGUGUUCGUACGUUAAUUUCGAACUCCAAACAUGUGUUUGUGUUCGGCUCGUUAAGCAAAGUUUGUAUUCGUGUUCAGCUCGUUUAACAUAAACGAGCCGUUCGCAAACAUGCUUGAAAUGCUCGAAUCCAAAUUAUUUUAAGCCUUAAAUAUGUCAUGCAAAUCAUUCAUCAUUCUCAAAAACAAUUAAAGCACUAAGUGACUAAAUUCUAUUAUUUAUUAACUAUAUAACUAACAUUAACAUAAAAACAACAAAUAAAACAAAGCAAUUUGCCCUCCAAAUAUAAAAGUUCAGCCAUAAAAUUAAUCUUCAAAUUUGUCAAAUGAUAAUUAUGCCCAUGUUCGCGAACAUUCGUUAAAACUCACGAACAUGCUCGUGUUCACGAACGUUCAUUAAAACUCGCGACUAUACUCAUGUUCGCUCAAUUAUUAAUCGAACAAAAAAAUUCGUUCGAACUUGGUUCGUUUAAAAUUUCGAACGAGUCUUUCACGAACACGAACGAGUCGAAAUGAAUCGAGCUACCGAACAGCUCGGUUUGUUGAACAGCCCUCGCAAAUGUGACUUGACAAAUGGGUUUAAGCCAACACAAGAAAUCCCAAGUCACGGGUGAAAUAAAUGGGUAACAAACAAACCCAAGGCCCUGCUCCAAUACCAUGUUAAAUGACUUGGACUCUCAUCUCAAAAUCAAUUAGGUAUGAGUUGAGUGGCCUAAUAUCUUUCAUAGAAAUAUAUAUAUUUAUAUAUAUGGCUAGAAAUUCUUGGAAUAUCAAUGGGGAUAUACAACUAACAAGGAUUAUCUAAAGAAAAGAAAAAAAAAAAGCAGAAAAAACAUAUCUAAAGAGGAUGGCCCGCAUGAAACUUGUACAAAUUGGACAAGGUAAUAGGUUACUUCAAAGAUUUUGAUGGCACCUGCAGAUAUAUUAUCCUAAUGUAUCUUUAUUUUUCCCAACUCUUCUCCCUAAAAUUCUAUUUCUCUAAAAGGAAUGUAGUAUUUUCUUCUCAGUUGGAUCUACACCAAGUAAUGCAGUGAAAUGUGUCCAGCAGAGAAGGACUUUUGAUCUAGUUUCUGAGUUUUUGGAGAAAGUGAAGAAAAGCUGCUCUUUCUUCACAUAAUUAAUUAAUGCUUUAACUGUUUGAGGCCGUAUGGAGUGGGCCGGCCUGAAUUUUAGCACGAACUUACCUGGAAAUGGUUUAUUGUGGGAUUCACAAAGGUGUACACGUACUAAUGAAAACAAAAAUGUGUACUUUGUUUUGGACCACUGAUCCUCCCGAUUGUGACCAUUAAACCCCUCCAAUCAAUUAUUUGUCAUGCAAUUAUCCAAGAAGAAAAUAGACAAUUAUUCAUACUCUACGAGACGGGAUAAGUUGAUUGUGAUGUUCUACAGAAAAAUUUUUACGUUUUUCGUAAAUACGUUUCUCAGUUACUUUUUUACCUCACAUACAUUAAAUCAUUAUAGUAUACAUAUAUAUUUUUUUACAAAAAGUCCUAAAAAUAGCAAUCCAAACGGGUCAGGAUUUCUCAUUUCAUUUAAAAUAAUUAUUUUAAAUUUGAUUAGUAUAGGACUAUUCAUCAAAUACUACGAGGGUAAUUCUUACAUGAAUUUGUUGGCAACAGAUGGGGAUGCAUGCUAAUAAAUUCGUAAAUUACAGCCCCAUCCCCUAAAUCCCAGACAGUACGCGCCAAAAGAUCUCACAUCAAUGGCCAUUUGUUGGAGACAAUCGCCAAAUCUGCAUGGUCCUCCUUUUCUUCAUUUCCUACGUACUUUAAUACUAAAAAUUUAAAACCCAAGUCCAACUUUAUUUUUAGAGGAUAAGGUUCUAUCCAACACGAAACUUUUAGGCCCUUAAAACAUCUCCACUACUAUAAAUAGUUGCCAUGAAAAGUUGCAUGUCUUAGCAUAUUUAUAGUGGUACAUAAUAAACUUAUAGUUACUUAAAAGAUAAUCUACAUAUUGACACGGAUAUUCGUUAAAAUAGGGUUCAGGUAUUAAUAUCUCGACCAAGCAAAAUUAAAUAGGAAAAGUGUAUAAAAAGUAAGACGAUAGUUGUUACGAGUACGUACCUUUACAUAAUAUAUUGAUUGAGAACGAUUUAGGUGUACAAAUAAAUGCCCAUUUAACGCCUGUGUCGGGAAAAUACUAAUUUGAAAUUUAGACAACACAAAAUCUUUUUUCUAGCUGCUUCUAGUGCUGCAUGGAAUGCUUGAGAUUCAAUAGCCAUUGCUUCUUCUUGCAGCUGAUAGGAGCGUGGUGGUGUUACUUGUCAGAUACUAGGAGGUUGAAUCUUGGCACAUUUACAGCCAAUACUGCAAACUUCACCUGUUCACCCCAAAUAAUUGUACUGGUGUCACUAAUUGCUUUGUCUACCUUGUUUCCAUGUCUUAAUUGUUCCUCCACGUACUGCCUUUACAUUCACUGAUUAAAUGCACCUACUUCCGUUUGCAAUUGACUUUGCAAUUUGUGAUUCUUUUUUCUCACGUAACUGAUCAAUUGGAGUUGAAUUGAUGUAUCACUGCUAUUAAUGGAAGGCAAAAUGAAUAAAACUAAUCAUGCAAGUAUAUUAAAGAGAAUGAUGUUACUCAAGUUCAAUAACUUGAGCAAUCAAGACUAGAAAGAAAUUUAAGAUUUCUUAAUUUCAUUCUUGUUAGUAACAAUUACCAACUUUUUUAAUUUCGUCUGCUUCGUGCAUUAAUUUGCACGUACCUGCAUGCAUGCUUAAUUUGUCGACAAAUGCUUAACAACACCCAGUUAAUGACGGUUUAGAAUAUAUAUAUAUAUAUGUAUGUAUAAUAGUAAUUUAUAAAUUUUUUAGGCAGUACAAUAUUGGCAACCUUUCUAACUUCCUGGGAUUCUCUGCAUCUUUUUGGAAAGAAUGUACCGAGAAAUUCAAGGGAUUAAAGAAACACUUCUUGAUUGCAUAUAAGGUCUCAAUGAUGAUUGUUGUUACUUGUUAGGUCCUCCAAACAUAUAUAGAUAAGUACAUGUGAAGUUGACGUCUACUUUCCUCCUCGAGGCCUCCACUUUUUACGACUAAAAUCCUGCAGGACUACUGCUCAAGGAACUGAAGGCCAUGGGAACAAACAAGUUCCAAGGGCAUGUCAUGGAAGUUAGGGAAUCAACAACACCCAAAUGAACAAUCAUUUCUAGGGUACCCAGAAAGUAGGAAGGUCAUUCUUUCCUUUCCUUUUUCAGGGGAACAUUGAUCAAAGCUAAGAACCAAAGAUCAUGUGAUGUACUCAGUAUAAACUCACCUUGGAUCAAGAUUUUGUUAUAUUCAAUGUCUUAAUAUGUAUAUAUAAAUGUCAUAUGAAGACUCAGUAUUACUUUACACUAAUGUUUAGAUUAUCAAGACGAAGAAUUGAAUAAAUAGGUGUAUGUCAAGAUGCAUUGCACAACGAAAAUUCAGCAUUCAAGUGGAGAAAGGAAAAUGAGCAGUAAUAUCAGUUUCUGUCUGGUUUUUAAGGGGCAAUGACAUUAAAUUACACUACGUUAACACAGAAUGUUCCAAGGUGGGGCUAAGCCAAUUUUGGAGCCUGCUAAAUUUUACUAAUGCAUAUUUCCUGGCCAACAGCUUCACGCCCCAUUUCACAAACCAAGGUUCAAACCUGGUUGCUAGGAUUGAGGCAAGGAGGGAUUAUGGAGGAAGGGGGGGGGGGGGUGUGGGGGUGGGAGAGGAAAAAGAAAAAGCCUAAAUCUUGUUGAUUCCUGAAGAAUUGUACGUAUUAGUUAUAGCAGGAAGCAUACUGUCGAUUUAACAAAUGCUGAAGGAAAUACCAAGGCAAGCUUAUUGAUACACAAGAUAGAGAAUAAACAAGUUAGAAUGGGGGAGAAAACUCGCAGUUUCGGGCUAAGAGAGAUGAAAAACAAUAGUAGAAACAAAAAGCAGGGGAAGUGUAUCUGUAAUAUUCAUGUACAAGACAAACUACACAGAAAUUGCUCAAUUUUGGCAACUGCUCUUGGAAGUUGGAAUACACCAACCAAAGAUCACUUGAUGAGGAAGAAACAUCCUCUUAAUCUUUUCAGUGCAGUUCUAAUGGCUGACCAGCUUGACAAAGUUGACAGGAAUCAAGUGAC